UUUUUUUUUUUUUUGGUCAAUAUAAAAAACUAAGAAGUGAAAACUUCCGGAUGGAGGAUUGUCGUAAAAUUGGCUGUGAACAAAGAAAGAGAAGUAAGUAAAGGCGGUUGCGGAGCUGGUGAGAUAUCUGAGCAGCCGCAUCGCAUUAAUCAGAGUGCCGUCCGUCUGCACAAUCUUCGCCGUAAAAGCCGUCUGCACAAUCUUUGCCGUAAAAGCUGUGCAAUAAUCCCUACAAUUUGUUCACGUAAAAAUCCAAAUUCUAAAAGAGAGUUCUGGUACCCAUAUAAACAGUAGAAACAGCACCACAAUUAACGACACCUCUUCUACUAUUUCAUGGAAAGCCGUCUUUCAACAACUAUUUUCUAAUUUUUUCUAUUUUUAUUCAUUAUUAAAAACACAUUGAUCAACAAAAAAAAAAUGCUUUUUAAUUAAAAAAAAUUGGUUUGAUUUUCAGAAAAUUAUAUUUUUUAUUUUAAGUAAAUUAGACUUUUUAGAAAUUAUAAAUUAAAAAAAUCAUGUUAUUUAUUAAUUAUAUCAAAUUUAGUCAUUAAUUUUUUUAUUAUUGUAUGUUUUGUUUUGAAUUUGUUUUUGAAUUUAUUUAUUUUCAAUUUCAUUCCUUAAUAUUUGCUAUAAUUUAAUUUUUAUAUUUGGUCCUUAUUUUUUUUAUUGUUACUUGUUUUUCUCUUUUCUUUUUCUUAAUUGAAAUUUUUUUAUCUAUCAUAUUUGAUUCUCAUUAUUUUUAUUACUAUUUAUUUUAUUUGAAAUAAUUUAUAAAAUUAAAAUUUUUCUUCAAUUUCAUCCUCUUUUAAUUUUUUUUAUCUGUUAAAUUUGGUCCCCACUCUUCUGAUUGCUAUUUAUAUUAUUUGAAAUAAUCUAUUAAAUUAAUUAUUAUUUUUUUCAAUUUCAUCCUCCUUCAACUUUGUCACAUGUUAGAUUUGAUUCUUGUUCUUUUAAUAAACUUGAAAAAAAAUAUUAAUAAGUUAUUCUCCAUCUCAUUUUUCAUGGUAUAGUCAAACAUUGAAAAAUAUUUUUCAACUCAUUUUCUAUAACAUUGCUAAAUAUCAAAAAAUAAUUCACUUUUUAAUAAUCCAUUUUUCAAAAAAAAAAUAUAUUUUAGCUAACAAACAGAGCCUAAGGUUAAGAACAAACAUCAACACGAUUAUACCCAAAUAAUAGAAGUUGGCUUUUUCUCACCCUUGAAAACAUCAAUCUACAAAUACUAAACUGACAAAAAUACUUCAAGGAUGAUUAAAUCAACCAAUAAGUAAUUAGCAUAAACAAGUAAUAAACAAAGGGUUAAUUCAUUUUUGUCGAAAGUUGACUAGUAAAAUCAUAUGAUUUUAUGAGUUAACAUAUAUUUAAUGUGCAGAAUCAAACUAAAAACUUAAAAACUAAUAAAAUCAUAUUUGACUCGUGAAGAAUGAGUAAACUUUCUAUUGUUGACUCCUAAAUUAUAUAGCUCUAUUCCCAAUUUCACAUUUCUCCUUCUCUAAAAACUCUAUUUUUGCACUCUCGCAAGACUGUAAAGCUUCAGAAAUUACAUUGUUAAAGAACCUCCGACAAGGCAAUCCCAAAAGUUGCAACAAAUGGUGGGACUUUAGAGGUAUGACAUGAGGUUUUGUUAUUGUUUUGAGGAUACUAGACAGGUUAUUAGGGUUUUAUUUGGGGUAGAAUGAUAACAACCAGAGAGUUGAUCACGGGGUUAACUGGAGCGAAAUAGCUAGUCCUAGCACAGAAAUAGCCAGUCCUAGUACAGAAAUAGCCAUAUAGGUCCUCUUUUUUUUCUUAUUAAGUGAACAUAAUUGUAUUAGUAACCAAAGUAUUUAAAAUAAACUAGGUAUGACUUUUGAUAUUAUUCCGUGGAAUCCCUUACAAUUUCAAGCAGAAAUAGGUAGUAUCAUAUAUUUAUAAGAAAAAAACCUUAAACAAAAGGGUCAUUUUGGGUUCACACAAGAUUAAUAAAAAUAAAACAAAAUGUCCUCCUAUUCUCUUGCUUAAAAUUUUGGCUUCCCUAAAAUCAAUUAGCAAAAUCAUUCUAAUUUUCACCAUUAAUUCCCAAGUAAACCAAGCAUUAAGUUCCUUUCGAAGCUUGCUGCUAAAUUUCCUUUACAAUUAUGCCUUUAUUUAACAUUGAAUUCUAGCACAACAUGAGUUGACCUAUCAUUCAUCAUUGUAAUCCCACUGUAAUAAUCUUCAUAAAUUUUUCCUUUUAUCUUGUGUUUUUCCUUCAUUUCUUCAACAAGGCAUCGAUAUUUCUCAUUAAUGAUUCUAUUAGUUUCUUCUAAUCUUGCUCAAUAAUUGCAUAUCUCUCUUAUAAUGACAUAUAUAUGUCUCUCUCUUCUUCAUUUUCUAACUCUAUUUCCUAAAAAAAAAAUGGUACUCCAUGUUCUGUUCCAAUAGGAAAGUCAAUUAACUCAUCUUUCUCUUCUAAACUUCCUUGUAAUUUUUAUUUUUUUGGUGCCAUAAAAUAACUAAUUUGACACUCUCAUUGUGGUCGUCAAUUGUUUGUUGUAAGUUCUUUUGUGUUUACCUCAAUUAGGAAGACCUUGCAACUUAAGAUUGAAGUUAUAAGUUAACUAGCUUGAACUUUGGAUUUAGUCCUAGAUUUACUCAAGUAAAUUCAAAUUUGUAUUACAAAGUUACACGAGUAUCAACAUGAUUAAAUCUACUUCAUACAAACAAUAGUUCAACUAAAGAAGUAUCCAAAUAAUUAAAACAACUUGAAUGUAAAGUAAACUCAAUAACUUAGAAAAUGAAUACUUACAUUUAUAGAGUGAUUCUUACUCUGAUUACAUCCACGAAUUAUAAUCAUUGGAUAAUAUAACAUCUUUUUGGUUUUUUUUUUUGUUUAUAGAAUUGAAACUGCAAGCUUAUAAAUUAUAAAGGAACUUGAUUAUCACCUACAGAGUUAUCGCUUACUAUUCUAUCGCCUGCAGACUAUCACCUACAAAUUAUCACCUAAUAGUUUCAGGUUUGAAAGGUCAUGAGAACUUGACAAAACUGCAAUGCAAUUAUUUGAGUUUGAGUUAUUGAUUGUUGUUGUCAAUCUUCAUUGUAACCUGUCUUAAAUAGUCAAUUGUACGAUGUUUUCAUUAAUUGUCUGUCAACUGCCGCUGAUAAUCUCUCAUCUUUCAAGACUCUUUCCACGAUCUUGUGUUCACAAAAAUUAUUGAUAUCUUUUAAUUACAUAGUAUGUUACACCUGUUUGUAAAUUUAAUCUUGUAUACAUGUUCCUUUUUUAUACGUGGCAAUAACAUUUAUCUUGAAAGUUUUUUUUAAUUAAUCCUAGUUAUCAUAUAACAUUUAUUUAUUUCCAUAUAUUUUUGUAGUAUAACACUAGCUGGCUAAAAUGAUUGGAAAAAUCAUUUUUUGACAUUAUCUUCUUGGGUUUGUUCCAUUUGAUCCUUGUGAAACUUGUGAGUUGGUAAAACGGUAAUUACCUCAAAACCUAACAUGGCAACUUUACAGUUAAAAAUGAAACUUGUAUCUGCAAGAUCCCAUGUAAGAAUUGUUUUGGCAUAUAACCUCUCUCCUCUGCAAAUUGAAGUUUUGCCUUGUGUUUAGUCGUAUAUUUUAUUAAAAUGAGCACAGAACACUGCCAUUCCUCCUCGAUAAUUAACAUUUUGACUUCAUUUUCAUUUCUUUUUCCGGAAAAGAAGUGCUGCGUUUAGGGACACCAAAAUCUAAAAAAACACAGAAAAACAGGUUAAUAAAAAAAGCUAUCCGAUUAAUUGCUGGUUUGGCAUUAUAUUUUUAACUGGUUUGGAUUUUUGUUUUAAAAUAUAUUUUUUUUUGAUAAUUUUGAAACAUUAAUAUAAAAAAUAAAAAAAUAUUUUUGAAAGGCUUUGCCACGAUAUUAAAAACCCACUAAGUUGUAUAUGCAUUCAAUGAAUGCAGAGUUGUUUUUUAGAGCUCGUUUGUUUUUGGGUUUCAAAAGUAUUUUUGAAAGAAAUUAAAUUUUUUUUUAUUUUUUUAUUGUUUUUAAAUUAUUUUGAUAUUCUAAUAUCAAAAAUAAUUUUUAAAAAAUAAAAAAAUAUUAUUUUAAUAAAAACAUUAUAAAAAAUAAUCAUUACAACAUUAAAAAAAAAAAAAAAAAACAUGUACAUAAAAGCUCCAUGCAUCCAGUUCGGGGAGUUCGGAUGCUAUUUAAUGUCAUGAGCACAUGUUCUCAUGGAACCUAAGAAGCCUCGUUUGCAAGCAAGGAAUCGGUACUCUUUCUUGCACCAUUAUACACGUGUCUUGCGGAUAGAGAGAGUGGGACUGAGUUUAUUUAAUUUGAACUAAAAGCUGGUAAAAAAAAUAAGAGAGGUUGAUCAUAGAAUAUAUAUAUAUAUAUAUCUCAUUCAGUUUGGUGUACGGAAUAUUAUAUAUGAUGAUUCUAAAUAAUGCCAUCAUUUUAAAGGUACUGUUGUACCCUUCUUUAACAACCACAAAUCUAUUAUUUAUCAGUACUUUUAUGUAAAUAAUCACUUGGGAUGAUUCAUGAUUUUUAUCUUUAUUAGGAAUAAAAAUAAAUAAAUUGAAAUAUAAUAAAGAUGAUUUGCCGAGGGCACAUCACACCUAUUAUUGACAACAAUUCAUGAAGUUACUAUAUGUUUUAGCUAUAUCCUUUGUUCUUUGUUGUACCUAGAUAAAUAAUAGAAUAGCUUUUUGCUGUCAAAAAAACCACAUGAACAGUUCUUGGAGUAUUUUUUGGUUUAUAGCAUAGUUAAAAAAAUAAUAAAGUAACAUAGUGGAUAAAAUAUUUUAAGAUAUAUUACGGUUUCACGAGUCGCAAUUACUAUUUAUGACGCUCGAGUAGCAAAUACCAACAACAACUCUUAUUUUGUCAUUGUUAUUUAUGACACACGAAUCAAAAAUGACAUUUGUGAUUUUAUUCAAAAUCAAUAAUCAUAGCCCAUUUCUUUUCAUUUCUCUUUUCUUUCUCUUCCAAUAGCCACCCACCCCUCUACUUUUGCUAUCAUCAACGACCCUCCUCCCUCUCUUUUUUCCCACUACAAAACACACCCAAAACGAUACAAGAUUACCCAAGAGCAUCUUAAAAUAGCAUUAGUGGAAGAUGAGAUUGUUUAUCGUGGAAGUGUUGAAAAUAUUGGUAUGUCCAUAAGCAUUUUAUGUCCAUCCAUAUACUGAAAUAUGAUAUUAAUACUCCUCACACCUACCUCAAAAUACUCUUCCUUUAGUUCCAAAAUUUAUUUAGAACUACAACAAGUUGCAAUUUGAAAUUGAUUUAGAAUUACAACGAAAAUUUUUCACUCUUUAUUUAAGCCUUGCAGGCCCCCACCAUCCAUUUAGUAUGGAAAAUAUAAACUCAGUAUGGUAGGUAGAUUCGGGACAUUUAUUGGUGGGAAAUUUUACCAUGAUAAUACUAAAUGGUAGAAAAUAAAAUAUUUCUUUGGAGCGAAACCCGAGUAUACAUACUAGUUAGAUAUUAAAAGGAGAUUAACCAGUAACUCUUUCGGUAUGUUUAAAUUUAAUUACAUGUAAUAAAACAUGUGGUAUGAUGACUUGUUAUAUUCUUAUAUUUUAAUGGUACAAUUUAUAUAAUUAUAAUGUAAUGUGCAGAUACACGGCAUAAGAAGAACAAUAAUGUAAUGAAUCAAUACAUGAUUAAAAAGUAACGAUGAAAAGACUUAUUGAAAAGAUUAUUUUACUAUAUGAACUAUAUAAACUGUAUUUUUAUAAAAAUACAAGGACCAAAGACUAAACUGAGGCUUUUGAAAAUUACAGGAACUAAAGAUAUUUGAAUUAUCAGAAAUGGUGAGAAUAUUAAAAGAUCAUUUAUUUUUGUAUUAUAAAAGUACUUUUAAAAAAUUAAAAAUUUUUAUUUUUUUUUAAUUAAUGUUUUUUAUAUUUUUAUAUCAUUUUGAUAUAUAUAUUUUUUAAAAAAUUAUUUUAAUAUUUUUUUUUAAAAAAAAUAACUACAAUGUAAUAGAACAAUAAAGGGCAGCCCAGCACUUACUCUAUUCAAUCCUGAAGGACAGGAUCAUCCCUGGAAGAAGCCCUGAUCAAAAUCAAAACAAGGCUUGAUUUAAACAGAACAACUUCACAAAACUGGGGACUGGGGAGACUUGAAAUUCCACAAGAUGUUCGUCGGUGACAUUCCUGAACCGCCCCCUUUUUCUUUAAUAACUCAAUCGUCGCCUUCUUCCACAUCAUACGACACCGACCAAACACAGGAAAAAAGGGAUUCAAUGCAACUGAAGAUUUAACAUGUUCAAGUCUUAGAUUGCCUGAGAAAACAUUAUUGCACAGCAAAAACAUAAACAGGUUACAGCACCACGCAGCAAAAUAUAAAAAAGUAAAUUUAUCACGUAACCUGUAAAAUGCAUUCCUCAAAUUAUAUAACUAAAAUUCCAAGAAGCAGCUGUGGCCUCGGCCACAACCAUCACAAGGCUUCUUCUGAAAUAAAAAAAAUUCCAUCCAAAAUGUAAAUUUUGGUUCAGGGAGCGGCUUCCCCUAAAACUGAAUUAUUUGAAGCAAAAUUCGCCGGCCUAAAUUCUCACAAGUCAAGAUUUUCAUCACCAUCUAGCCUAAAAGAAAAAAAGUGACUGACGAUUCAGCUUUUGUUUAAGCACCACCAGAUCCAUACUUCUUGCCGAAUACAAUCAGCUGCAACUUGUCGUAACCAGCAAGGACACCAGCACCAGCAACAGCUCGGAGGAUGUUUGCUCCAGCACCCUUGAAGAGAGACUUGGCACCUUCAUUCUUCAAAAUCUGAGAGAAGGCAUCAAGUGAGCUCUUGUACUUGACAGCUUCACCAGAUGUCAUCAUCAUUCUUCUACGAACAGUGUCAAUGGGGUAGGAAGCAAGGCCAGCACCGUUGGUAAUGAGCCAACCAAGGGCAAAGCUAGCAAAGAAACUAUCCUGUAAAAAUCAGAACAGAAAACUAAGUGUUAAAAACCCAAAAACACUAAUUUAUUCAACAGAAAGCUUUUUGGCAGUUUGAACAAAAAGAGUUAAACCGGUGAUCUGAUUUCAAAAUUAAUAAAACAUAAAGCAACCAUCUUGCAGACACAAUUAAUUCCAGUAGAUAAUUAAAAAAAUCUUGGGCUUCAAGCACUGAAAUUAAGAGCACAAGAUUUAGUACGGUGGUACCAGUCAAAGAUUUUAUAGUGACGAGGGAAUAAAAAAGCCAAAUACAUUUACAGAGCUAAAUGCAUUUACUAAGCAAAAAAAACACCAUUCCUGUCUCAAGAAGUGAUUAAAUUCCGUGCCUGUUUAGGGCUGCGGUUUAACCCGCUUUUUAUAAAAAUUUGAUUUUUUUUUUGCUUUAAAAUAUUUUUUUGUGUUUUUAUAUAGUUUUGAUAUAAUGGAGUUAAAAAUAAAUUUUAAAAAAUAAAAAAACAUCAUUUUAAUGCAUUUUCAAGCAAAAAAAAUAAAAAACCAUACCAACACUCCCAAACACCCUCUUCAGCAGCUAAAAUGUAAACAUACUUUAGUGGCCAACACAAUCUUGCAACCACAAUAAUUAGACAGAUGAGUACAAUUGUUUCCACUAACCUGCAUGCUACCAGUAAGAAGCACUGGCUUCAAGGAGUCGUACAUUCCAAAGUAGAGACCACGAUAGACAAUGAUUCCAACACAGGAAAUGUUAAAUCCACGGUAAAGCCCGGCAAGACCAUCAGAAGCCAUUGUUUUCCUAUAGACAUCAAUGAGCCCAUUGAAUUGCCUCCCUCCUCCCUUCUUUGCAGCCUUGGCAUCAUUGGCCAAACGGGUUCGAGCAUAAUCCAAUGAAUAGACAAAGAGAAGGGAAGAAGCACCAGCUGCACCUCCUGAGGCCAAGUUUCCAGCAAACCACUUCCAGUAGCCAUCUCUAUCUUUCUUAAAGUUGAAGAGCCUCUUGAAGUAAUCCUUGAAUGCAAAGUUCAAGGCCUGACAGAUUCACAAUAGCAAUGAGCAUAUAAUUCAUUAUAAAAAAAAGGUUAUCUAAAUAGAAAAGAUAUCAACUUGAAGAUGCUAGCAUACCUGAGUGGGGAAAUAACGGAUGACAUUGGCAGUGUUUCCUCUCCACAAGGACCCAAACCCUUCAUCCUGAAUUGUUCGCUUAAAACAAUCACCAAUGCCCUUGUAGGGUUCAGAGAGCCUGCCAGAUUUAAUCAUCUCAUCCUGGUUUUGAAUCAAAAGCUUAACACGCUCAAUAGGAGCAGCAGCAGUUUUGGAUACAGCAGCAGAUACUCCCCCCAUAAGGAAAUCAAUAGCAAAGCUGGCUAAACCUUUUUCUGCGGGGGCUUGAACAAGAACAGAAGAAGCAGUUGAUGGAACAAUAGAUAAAUCAGUGGCAACUGCACAUGUCCGUCCCAUGGGGUACUGGAAAGCAGGGUUCGAGUAGUUUCCAUAAGCACGCCUUUGGUAUAGAGCCGGCCUCUGGAAAGCCCCAUCACAACCAAAAUCUUGGGAAACGCUGGAAAGAAGGAACUGGCCAGCUACUUUCUUCAUAACAGAAGGGUGUUGAAUCUGAUCGGCCAUUUUGCCUUUCCCUGCAAAGAUGCAAGUACAAGCUGUUAAAAACUGCUUACUUUAAAGGCAAUAAAAAAAAAGCCUAGGCCUAUGCAAAUUGACACGUAAUGAUACACGUAAAGGUAAAAUUGGCAAGAGGCUAAAAACUCUAAAUUCAGACAAUGCACCAUCUGUAUAAGCAGAACAAGGAACAUUUACGGGGAUAAUAACUACCGUAGAGCAUCAUACAAAGUGAAACAAAUAAGUUUUGGGUUCUUCCAAGAAUACUGGGGCGACAUGAAUCCAAAGAGCCCAAGUUCUCAACAGAAAAUUACUAAUCAAAACUAUGAAGCCAAACUCACAUUUAUAGCAAGCAAAUAAGCACAAAAACAUUAAUAAGCAAAAGCAAAAAAGAAGAGGCUAAGAGACAAAUUAUUGAGGCUAGCCAGUAAAUACAACAUCUAUUCAAUGAACAGCUCAAUUCAAUUCAUCUAAAAGUGUAAAACACUGAAAUUAGAUAAGCACGUGAUGUGAGACAUUCCAUGAAACUAUCAAAAUAAAUUAGUUGAAUUACAUUUUUUGUUAAAACAUCCAAAAAAUAACAGAUGCAGAUAGAAAAUUAAGAGAGUGAAAGAAAGGAGUGAAUUGCUUUCGCAAUAAAUUCCAAUAUUAUCAUGACAAACUCAAACAUGUAACAUUCUAACAGAUCUGAAAUUAAUUUUUCGUAUUGCAAAAUUUGGAAGAGAACAAAGCAAGAAAAUAAGAGUUAAACAGAUCCACCACAAUUCGAACAAAUACAAUCAGAUCUAAUAAAUAAAACAACGACGACAGUUCAAGAAUCAAUAUAUAUGCCUAAAACUAAUGCAGAAGCGGCACAUCAGAUUUACGAGAACAAGCAGUAGAUGAACAGAUCUAAUAAAACAGAUUGUAGAGACAGGAUCUGAUUAGAACUGACAAGAGAGAUCGUUCGAUUUUAGCUUUGGAGAAAUCAACAAAUCUAAGAGAAAACAAAUAGAAAUGAUAGCAAAUGAGAGUAGAUUUGAAGAGAAGAGAACCGAAUGUUUCUCUGUGUUUAACCUGAUUGGUGGCUGUGAUUGGAGGACGAAGCUAGAGAGAGAUAUUUAGGGCUCUCUCCGACUUUCGCUGCGCGUUGAAAGAAAAUACAAAAGCAAGAGAGAGAGAUUUGUGGAGGAGGAGUGACUUCGAAAUGAACGAAACCGUCGCGUAUUUAAAACGGAACUACAUGACAGCGGCUAUACAAUUUCUUAAUAUUCAUACCCUACUUAUUAUUUAUUAAUUAAAAAUUUUUAAAAUUUUAAAAUUUUAAAAUUAUUCAGUAAAUUAUAGUAUCCAAGAAAUAUUUAUUAUUAUUUAUUAGUCAACAAAAAAUAAAAUAGUUAAUAUUAUAUAUAUAUAUAUAUAUAUAUAUAUAUAUUUUUGAAGCAUGUAUAUAUUUAUUAAAUGAUAAAUAUUAUUCAUCCAUACUUAUAUUUUAUAUCGAUAUUAAGAUAUAUAUAUAUUAUAUUGGAUUAAAAAAAUCUAAAUAUUCUACAAAUACAUUUAUAAAUAAAUAUUUUGGAUUAGGCUUGAGCGGGUUUUUGGUCAGGUUUGACUAUAUUCAAACCAUACUCAUUAUCCAUCAAAUCCAAAAAAUUUCUUUACAUUCAGGUCAGACCGAGUCAGUAUCCAUCAUAUUCAGAUUAAAUUAUCAUCUCUGCUUAUAUGUGUUGCUUUGUUUUGCUUAUCAAUUACCAUGUGAGAAAGUGGGUAGGUUGUGAUUUGUUACCUUAUCAAUUUUAGGCAUAUUGGACAAUAAGCAUAGAAAGGAAAAAAGAAUGGGCAAAUUUUUUUUUAUUGAAAUAUCAUAAUUUUAAAUGUCAUGGUUCAAAACCGCAACAUUUAAUUAAUGUCAUGGUUAAAAAAUAUGACAUAUAAUUUAUAUUGCGUUUCUGAACCGUGACAAUUAAAUGAUGUCGCAUUUCAGAACCAAAACAUUAACUAAACGUCAUUGUUUGAAUUACGAUAUUAAUUAAAUUCCAGAAAUCAUUUCAGCUAUUCCAUGAAAAUCCAACAACAAAAUCCCUCUACAUCUAAAUCUAACAAAAAAUGGUUUUUAUGAGAUUUAUUAUUUAAUUUAUUAAUCUUACAUUUAAUUUAGUUAGUGAUUUUAGAGAAUAAGAAAUUUUAUAAUUUUAACAAAAUAUUGGCAGAGUUUUCCUUAUUCAACGAAAUAUAUCUAAACGUUUGUCUUCCUUAAAAAUACUUGCAAAUAACUACAAUAAUUAAAUACAAUAAAUUCUCAUAUUUUAUAAUCACAAGUAGCCUCAGGAAAGCAAAUAAAUAAACAUAUAUACAUGCAAAAGGAAUAUAAAAUACUUAAAUAAUACAACAUUCUAAUAAUUGAAAUCUCAAAAUAUGUCAACAUAACAAAUCUAUCUACCUAUGUCUACGACGUCCAAUGGAGCUGUUUGUUGAAACGCACGUACGGAGUCAAGACCGCCAAAAAGAAGCACAAUAGUUCGUUGACAACCGCGCUUAAUACUUUGUGGUAUGUUUGUUCAACCAUUUUAUUUCGUAAGUUAUUAUUUUUAUUGAAUUGAAUAUGAUGAUUUCUUUUUUCAUUUUCAGGAGACCUAUAAUAGCCGGUUGAGGGAGAGAUAUGAGGACGAUCCUUUGACCCAGCCAGAUUUCGAUUUGGAUUUGUGGAUGGAGGUAGGAUCGUCUGGUGGACUCGAUAAAAAUCAGGUGUACAGGCUCUCCAACACUACGACCGAGAACUUGCGAGUGACCCGUAGUGUCUCAACCGUUGGGAGCUCCAAAUCAGUAUCGAGCACCCAAUAUGAGGAUAUCAUGGCCUUGAAACUACACAUGGCUAAUCUCACCGAGAAAUAUGAGCAACUCUCGAUGAAUAAUGAACAACUCCGUCUAAUGGUCAUGAACAUGACUGGACAAAGUGGUGAUACAUGUGCGCCCCCUUUUUGGUCGUAUAACAACCAGCCUCCUCCUCCUCCAGCUCCGUCAUUGUGCUAAUUUAAUAUUUUUUUUGAAACACAUUCAAUUUGUAAUGAAUAUUAUUUUAUUUUAUUUUUUUGUUUUUUAUGUUUAAUAAAAUUUUAUUUGCAUAAUUGGAAUCCGGUAUUACCGACGAACAGUAAGCCGACGAACGUUUUCCGUCGGCGAUUUAAUCGGUAUAAAAAUUAUCGACGAACUCUGAAUCUCAUACCGACGGAAUCUGUCAGUCGGUAAAACUUUGAAAUCUUGUAGUGAUAUGGGUAUCAAUGCCUGUUUAACAACAAUCAAUUGUUUAUAUUUAACAUAAUAUUUUUUGUUAUUUUUUUAUAUAAAAUUGAAUUUGCCUACUUUUUUUUAGAAAUUCCAAGAAAUGCCCAUUUUAAAUUACACAUUACACAAGACAACACAGACAAGCCAAUUAAAAUUCAAUUACUCAUCUUAGAGAAUUCCAUAACUCAAACAAGAAAACAUACUCAGAAAUGAAAAUCAUCCAAGAAUAGCCUUGUGAUUAACGGUAAAUACAUGAGCUGCUGGGCUAGUAAACUGAUCAUCUUUGAAUCUUCCCCUCUCUCUUUGUUUUAUUUUGACAAAAAUCAUCACGAAUAAAAAAAGAAAAACACAAACAAAGAAAUAGUGUGGGUUUAGUAAUUUUUAAAAAAUAUUAUUAUGGCAAGGAACCAUUUUUCACCAUGAUUUCUUCUUCAAAGAAAUUGCAUGCUCUACAAUAAGAAAUUCUGAAAAUGAUAAACAAUCUUGACAGUAACAUAAAGAAAUAGAAAGAACAGAAAUUAAAGCUAAAUGUGGAAAAUAUCAAUUUGGCAGCGUAAGAUCUUCAUGUUAAAAAAGCAUUUUCCUUUUAUUUUUGUCAUGAUUUUAUAUAUUUUCCAUGUAUUCUAAGCAACACAUUAGAAAGAUGUAAUAUUUAUCUAUUUUUAUUAGAAACAAUUAUGGUAUUUAUUGGCGGGGCGUGCACCACGCGGUUACUACGGCCAAAUGGUCAAACUGGGCUGCUACCUUUUCAAAUCUUCGUUUUCUCAAGCUCUUGGAGGGAAAUAGUUGCUUUCGGUUGACUGAUAAUAAUAAUUAAAAAAAAAGGGGAGAUAAUUGAGUAUUGAAAAAAAUAACAAGUAAGGGUGAAUUUUUUUUAGAUUAACAUGGAUGUAUCUUAAUUAUUUUUAUGAGUUCUAAAGUUAAUAAUUAUGUAAGUUUUUAGUGAUUCUGAGAUUUGUAAAAUUCGAAUUAAUAAUUUUUUAAAAAUAAAAUCUGAACAGUUAAGUUGUUAUUUCUUUUAAAUUUAACAACGUUGAAAGCUUAAGAGAAUACAUUCCAAUUUCAUGGGUGAUGCUUUUGCUUGCAUUUCUUCCCGUUUUUCAACCACUGGUUGGAAAUUGCUCGAAUUUGAUGUCUGGGCCCGGACUCAACAAAAGGGAGAGCAUGACGCUAAGGCUUAUCUGCUGCUUCUUUUUUCUUUUCUUUUUUCCUUGAAAAAACGUAAAUCUAGCUUUAGGGAUGCAACUUAAUUAAAAAGAAAAAAUAAUAUUUAAUUUAUUAUUUAAAAGUGUAGUUACGGUUGCUUUCAAAAUGCUUUUCACUUGUAAAUAUAUCAAAAUAAUAUUUUUUUAUUUUUAAAAAAUUACUUUUAACAUGACAUAUCAAAAUGAUUUGAAAACAUCAAAAAAUUAUUAAUUUAAAAUAAAAAAAAUUAAAUAUUUUUAAAAACAUUUUUAAAACUAAAAAAUAUACCUUAUACAAGCUAGAAGCGAUUAGGAAUAACACGGCCGGCACAUUUGUUCCGGAUCACCUCGUUUUUUUCAAAUGUAAUUGGAUUGUUUUUAUAUUAACAAAAAAACUAAUUUGCGAGGCGAAAUCAUUGGAGCCUUUUAUGUAUGCACUCUUUUACAAAUUAAUGUGGAAUGAAAAAAGUAUUUUUUAUAUAUAAUUCUUUAAUUUAUUUCUUGAACUUUUUUUUUGCAUAAUUGCUUUUUUAAAAGAGAGGGGUGGAUUCAAAGUGAAAAUAAUAGAUAAAAUUAAUGGUAACUUUGAAUUUCAGUUGAAAAAUUCAUUUUAGUCCUUCAUGUUUUUUAGUUAAUAUGUUGCUAGUUCCUUUAGUUGUGAGGAAUUUAAUUUUGAUGUAAUUUUUUUUUAUUUUUCAAUUUUUUUAUGAUAAGAGAGAGAGGCUCUUUGAUUCUCAUGCAGAAAAAAAAUCAUCAUUGAUAAUUAUUUCAACCAUCAAAAUAAUUGAUAUUGGUGUCAAUAGGUCUCAUUUAAAGAGGGAAGUUUUCCUUGGAUGUUUUCUUACCUUCAAAUUACACGACGAGGCAAAUCUAACCAUAUAAAAAAUUUCAAGUUCAAGUUGAUUUUGAGUUGUUUGAGAUGUUUUAUAGGUUUUUCUAAGGUCAUUAAGAUGUUUUGAGUCAAAUAAGUUUUUUAAAAAUUGAAAAACCUAAACCUCUAUUUUCGUCCACCCAUAGUAACUAAAUUAUGUAGAAAACAAAUGACACAUUUUCUUUUUAUUUCUCCAAACAAAAACAAAGACACCUAUUUAAUUUUUUUUUAAAUAUGAAUCUGGGCUAGGUGCACGGGCUAGGCUACAAGCCCCAUAUGUCUAGAUUGUUUUUUUAAGGCCUCAGCACGUUGGGUCACCAAGCCUGCGUGUUUGGGCUUCAUUUUACUUUUUUAUUUUUAAUAUUUCUUUAUUUUAUAUUUUAUUCCAAAAUUUUUUUCAUUUAACCCAAUCGAAUUCAUUAGCCGAGCCUUAGGUUUGACAAGUUAAUUCGCGGCAUCCGUACUAUUACUUUUUCCUUUAUUUUUCUUUAAUACAUGCUUUGUCCUUUAAUUUAAAAAAACACAAUUUCAUCAUUUGUUAUUAAUGAUCUACUUUAAUUAUUUUUGUUCCACACACCUAUCAUGUUUUUUUUUUCAAAAAAAAAAGUUCCAUACAAAGAAAUUUUAUGUGUUUUAUUAUCAUAUAAUUAAAUAGAGAUAAUCUACGAGAUAAAAAAAAUUAUUGAAUCCGGUGGCGUGCAUGAAUUGCAUCAUGAAUUUUCUUUGUUGACUUGAGUUCACAUAGUUUUUUGUUUCAAGAUUAUCCCUGUGAAUUUCCAGCCCGAGUUAACCCAGAUGAAUGUAAUAUGUUUUUAUCUCAAUAUUAGAUAAAAAUAUUGUUCUAUUCAUGGUUAUAAUCUAUUUUUCUUAUUUAGAAGACACAUUACCAAUGCUUAGACUCUUUUCUUGGCACUUAUUUUAUUUUACUAUGCUUUGUGACAGAGCGCAAACCAUUGAACUAGUCUAAUAAACUAUGAGCCGUUUAAAAAUAAAAUAAUAUUUUUUUAAUAUUUCUUUAUUUAAGGUUUUUAGAAUUUAUAUUGAAAUUAAAAAUAUAUAUUUUGUAAGGUUUUCACAAUUUUCAUAUAUAAAUUUCUUCCCAUUUUCUAAAAGCACAAAAGUUCUAAGAAAUAACACAAUACUUUUCUAUCUUACACAAUCACUUUUUGUGAACAUAAAACAUUAAAAAUAUUUUCUUUUAUAUUAUCAUAUUUAUCCUUCAUAUUUGAUAAAUAUCGUAAAUUUAUUUUCUUAUCAUAAACCUUAGACAAGAUUUUUUUUAGUUUGUAAAAAUAACUUUGAUAAUUUAUAAUUUGAAUAGCAUUAACUACAAAAAAUUAAGAUGUUAUUAUAAAUUAUUUUUUUCUAUUUUUCAUGAGAAUAGCUAUAAUCCUGGUAGUUUGUUUUUUAGUGGAAAAAAAUUAUUUCAUUUUUAACGAAUGAAUAUAAUUUUCAAUUGAAAAUUGAAAAUGAAGAAAAAAAACUUAAAACAAAGAAGAAAAAUAAUUUUCUGAUACUAAAAUGCUUACAUGAUCCUGAUCCUAGUAGAUAGCCAUCAAACAAAUCUUGAAGACUCAUGGAUGGGAUUUAAUAGCCUGAGAGUAUAGUUGUGGUUGUUUAUCAAAGUGCUUUUUAUUCAUAUAUGUAUUAAAAUAAUAUUUUUUUAUUUUUUAAAAAUUAUUUUUAACAUCAACACAUCAAAAUAAUCUAAAAACAUAAAAAAUCAAUUUAAAAUAUCAAUUUAAAAUAAAAAAAAAUAAAAACAAUUUUAAAAAAAAUUUAAAACACAAAAAUAAAUAGGAUAGCAAAAUUGAGCUCCAUUUAUUAAUCAACAGAAAACAAUUUGUUUUUUUUUUUUUGGGAUAACUUAUCAGUAGAAAGAAUGGACUCAAAUUUGGGCUUUAUUUAUGGAGUGGCCUUUCUAUGCAUGUGACUGGGCUUUGCAAAAAUGGAUAAUAAAUAAAGAAGAAAAACCCAUGUGGAGAUGCGGGGGAUCGAACCCCGUGCCUCUCGCAUGCAAAGCGAGCGCUCUACCAUUUGAGCUACAUCCCCUUGUUGUAAGCUCUACCUCGUUAUAUUAAUUAAUUCAAAAACCUUAGGUGGCAUGACCACCACUGUGAAGUGAAGUGAUGAUAGGUCAGGUAAGAAACGACAGUCCUGGAAAUGUGUAAAUAAACGUCAUGUUCAGGUACGGAUAGAACCACUCAAUUUUGCACGCUAUGAUAAUGGAGUGAUCUUUUUCACCACUUCCAAUCCCAUGUUAGUUAGACAAAGAUUUAAUUCUUUUUUCAGAAGUAGAAAUGAGAUUUAUGAAAAUAAAAUAUCAAUUUUAAAAUCAUAUUUAUAAUUCUAUGGAUAUUUAAAGUAUUUCUAUUUUAUAUUGAUCAGUUCUACGUACUUUUUUAAAUCGGUAUAUCUAUAUAUUCCUUAGAGAACUUCGUGUUCAACUUGUAUAUAUUUUGCUAUUAGCCCAGCAGGUGGCUGCCUUUUCUUUACGCACGCGCAUGUCCCCCCUGUCCUUGCAAGUGUGACAUGGAAUGAAAUUCCAAUGCCGAAUGAGAAAUGAAACCAUACAGUUGUACGUGGAAUGGCCACGAGCUGGGAAGAAAAGUAACAGUAUUCAUGGCUGGAGAGUCCAAAAUCCAAAUUAAUGGACGUAUUCGCUUUGAUUGUUGAUGAACAACUCUUACUAAAUAAUAUAGUUGUCUUUCUGUCAUUCUUUUUAGGGUUUUAGUUAUUUUUUAGCCUAAGGUUAUGGCGAUGGAAACUGUCUCUAUAGGGAUAUACAGGUAUAUUACAGCCAUAUUGAAUUUCCAGUAAUUGAAUUUCCAGUAAUCGAAUUAGGUCAUGGAAGCUGUCCUUUUCAACUUAGCAAUACUGGAGCUCAUUGAGAGGCCCAUUUUCUGCCACACCAUCCUUCCGUUAACCCUUCAGAACAGUAGCCAUCUGCUUCAAUGGGGACACCAAUCAUUUUCCACACUGUUCACAAAAUAAUUUCUUCUGGAGAUUUGCAGUGCUGCUGGGCAAAACACAAAUGCAGGUUUACCCUCCGUUCGUUGAAUCCAUUGAAUGCACGAUGCUGGUAUGUUCCCCAUGUAGCUAAUUUUGUUGGAGAAGUAGACUGGAAAUCUAGGCAGAUGGACUACUGUACUAUUGAUGAGACAAUGUGUAUCAUAUGAAAUCUUAUUCCAUAGUCAUAUUCAUUAAUUAUUUAAAUAAAAUUUAAUUUUUUUUUAAAUUUUAUUCCACUUACAUAAAGAUUUACAAUUAAUACUAUUUAAAAAUAUAUAAAAUAUUUUCUCUGAUUCACCUAGAAUGAUGAAUCCUCUCUUGAUUAUUUAAAUACCUUCAUAUAGUUCAUAUUAUAUCUAAUAUUUACAUGUAUGUAACCCAUGAUUAAGACAAUGUAUAGCAGGAUCAAAACAUAAUAUUUUCUAUAUAAGAUAACUUAAUGAUCUUAAGUUUAAGGAUCAUUUGCACAACAUUCAUAUGAGCCUUUCUAUAUACACAUGUGAUCUUUCCAUAUGAAAUUCUCAUGCAGGCCAGUUCUUAAUAGAGCAUUGAUACGAACAUUUAUGGACAAUAAUUUGAUGAAAUAAGAAUUUCAUAUAUAUAACAACUUUAUAAUUUUCUUUAUAAAAUAUUUUUAUUUCAAUGACUUUAUUUUUACUCUAAACUCGUUAAUCAAAUAUUAAAUUCAUCAAUCAAAUAUUUAAUGAAUAUUAAAGUUAAAUAAGUUUUUAUUAAAAUUAAAUAUAUUUACAUGAAUAAAGUUUAUGCUAUAUAUAAUCAAUUAAUAGGCUACCAAUUAAUUGGCUACAUGACAUAUACACACACUAAAAUUUACAUAAUUUAAUUCGGAGAGAUAUAUAUACACACACACACUAAAAUUUACAUAAUUUAAUUCGGAGAGAUAAAUUACUAUUACAUUGCUAAAUAUAUAUAUCCUUACAAUAAAAAAAAAUCCAAUAACCGAUCGAAAAGCUUGCGUUUAUUUCUUUACAACUUUAAAAUGACUCCUCUUAGGCAAACCUGCGCUAAUUUUGCAUGAAUUCGUCAUUCUUUUGUUGAGGUUGAUAUAGCCAUUAACUGAUAUUUGACUAAUUAUGAUGUAUGGUACUCUUGCAUCCUUCUUAUACGCAAUUAAUCAACAUGAACCUCGAAACAAGGCUGCACCCAUCGUGCUAGUGUCUUGUUUUGAUUUGCAGGUUUCGAUUCAUUUACGUGCUAUAGUUAAUUGCUUUGGUUGCCUUUGAUAAUCUUGUCAUUUAUUGGCUUUUAUUUCAAUUAUCAAUGUAUGUUCUUAGUUCUUAGUUAUUAUAUUUUAAAAAACAAAAACAUUUAAUUAAUAUUUUUUAAGUGUUUUUAAUGAUUUUGAUGUACUAAUAUAAAAUAUAAAUAAAAAAAUAUAUAUUUUAGAACACAUAAUUAAUAUUGAGAAGUAAUUUAUGAACAAAACUUGCCUGCCUUGACUUUUCAAAGAAUGCUUUAUGCAAUUGAUAGUUUAAUAUGGCAGAAGACAACAAUUGUAGGGCCCAAACUGAGUUUCUGGGUUAUUUAUGAUGGCAAACUUCGAACCAUGGGCCUGCUUCGACCAGUUAGAGGACAAUUGAUCGGUUCUUGUAGACAAAAAAACAAAAAAGAAAAAGAAAGAAAGCUAGCAGUCUGAGACUGCAAUGAAAGUGUUAGGUCCUACAAGGUUUAAUUUUGUAAGAGGGAGUAAAUGACAAGUGAAAGCCAGUUAAAAUUAAUGUGACAAGCAACUUGACAAACUUCUGAAAUUAAAGCCUUCCUAGAAUAUUACUUAUAAAUGUUUGUAAACCAGUAGCAGUUCCUACCUCUUAUCUACUCAAUAUUAAUUGUUCAGCUCCUCCUGUUGUUUUUCCCAAAAGGGUUUCGAUUCUACUACCUCACUGGUGAAACCCAGGCAUGACAGAUAAUAACCCAUCCCUUUCGUCUAUUAGGCGAAGGAGCAAUGAGAGAAAAUUGUCAGAGACGAUGAUGUCGCAACAGUGAGUGAACAGUGAGUUCCAAUCAUGGCGUCGGAGUAUCCCUCCCCCCACCCUUCUUUUGUAAACAUCCCAUGUAGGUCCUCGUCAGCUGUCACCCUCACAAGUGUUGUCGUCAUUCAAUAACACAUCUUAUGGCCUGUUCUUCAUGAGGGAACUCAUAGCCUGCGUGACAGGAUUUAAACCUUUGAUCACUGUUUAAGAUUUCUAACUUGACAGUUGAUUUAUCAAACUCAAAAUAUAAUUACCUGAAGUAACCGUUAAUAGUUAUUUCUAGAGAGAUACAAUUUUUUUCGUGAUCACUGCUUAUUGAAUUCGUGAGACUCACUAGUUCUACCAGCUAAACUUUUUUAAUGAAUGAGAUUGUUUCUUGAUUUUAGAAGUAAUAUUUUGGUAAAAUAAAUUAGCUUUAUUAAUUGUUGAAACUACAAUUCAUUGUUUCUUGAUCGAUGGGAGAGAGAUCAUUUUGUGCCCAGCUAAGACAUAACCAUAUAAAGCAGCAAAGACAAAUUUCUUAAUUUUGUUAGCAAAUCUCCUUGAUCUUUUGGCUGUAGACCACAGGCAAAAUGUGAACAAAAAAUAUUUGUGAUUUGGUAUGGGCUUUAUUGGAUUUCCAAUCUCGCAGGCAGUUGUUUGGUAUUUUCAAAACAAUCUUGGACAUGGGGACUCAAAAGGCCAUUCCCACUUCCCGUUGACACUCACUCGUGCAAUCUUGGAAACAAAAAACUUAUAAGAUCAUGGACUCUGGUCAAAUCAAAGACUUCGAGACAACUUAAUUAGAACAAAGAAUUAGAGAGGGGCUCUACCGAAAUGAGUAGAACAACCCCUCUUAAAUUAAAGCUAGCCUUGGAAAACAUGAUUGUCGUUCCUUAAGGAACUCAAGUACCUAUUGAAUUGGACAGAUUUUUCAGAAGUUCAAAAUGUUUAAUCAAUACUAUAUAUCUCUGGAGUAGGAAAAAUAUGAAGUUGAAAUUAUUUUGUUUUCCUCGUGAGUUAUAGAGCUAGUCAGCUAGCUCACCUCAACAAACAACGCCCCCAUCCUCCCCUCCUUCUGAUUUAUUCACCAGAUGCAUGCCUUAGACAUUCACAAAUGAAAUCGUGGAAGUAGAGAUAUACAUAUUUAGCAAAUUAAUCCUUGCGCACCUAACUUUUCAUGUAUCGAGAACAUGAAUGAUUUGGGAAGUUCGAUUUGUUCUUUUCACAAUCCUUGAAUAUUCUGACUAGGAGGCAUGUACUUUUUAUCAGUUUAAGUUGGAUGAGAUGCGCUUAUAUAUAUAUAUAUAAUGGUCAACAUAGCUCCCAAAAAGUCUUCGUUCAAGACCAAGUAUAGUUAUCAUGGUUUGAGGAAUUCUAAAUCACGGUUCCCUUUGGAAGUCUCUUUUGUUUUUUAAUUGUAUAGACCAUCUGGCGGUGAAAUUGGUAUGAAUUUCUGAUCUUAAGUAAGUUUUUGUUACCAUUCCAAGAUGAUACGUGCAAUAAAUUGUUGAUCUAAACUCUAAAUCUCCUGGGAGUUGAUGAGCAAGGAGUAUUCUACAUAAUCUACACUCAAAAUUUCUUUGAUUUAAAAAUAAGUGUAUAAAUAACCAUAUAUAUAUUAACUAUAAGCACGAGUACUAAGCAAUAUUAUGUCUUCACAUUCAUUUCGAAAGACCUAACUGUACCUUACCAGAUCAGUUGGAAUUCAAAUAUUUUUGUAAAUGAAUUUGAUUGUAUGUGGAUAUGUCACAUCUUCGAAAAAGCCAAGGAUGAGAAUUGAAUCUCAAACCUAACCAUAUAUAUAUUGCAUAAAUGAAUUUUCCCAUUACCACCUAACCAAUCAUUCGAGACGUAAAUAUACACAUAGAUUGCAUAAAUCAAUCACGUCCCAGUUCUUGUAGAGACUUGAUAAAAGAGAUUUUUGAGUAAGAGAUUCGGUAAAAAAACGUAGAGGGAGACAUUGAUACUCUACUUGAUCGUGAGGAGAAGAGGAAAAAAAUAUAUAUUUGUCUGAAAAUCUUAAGUUUUUCAUGUGACUGGUUUUAUGUUCUAAUCCAAGUAAGGGGAGAGGAUUGGUAUAGAGUAUUAAAUUCCAAGCUGAAUCUGUUGGGCAGGCAUAUCAGCGAAAAAUCGAAGCCUCACUAGUAGCUGGCGAUGAACUAAAAUCGGUAAAUAUACACACCAUACACUUAUCUCAAUCUGCAAUUUUUUUCCUGGUGAGUUGCAGCAGCUCGUGUUAAAGCAGACAUAAAUAACUCUAUCCUCGUCCUUAACUCUCUACCAAUUUCUUCUGCCCCAUCAUUAGAAAGGGCCUGUCUCCUUGCUUCGGAGAAGGACCUAGCUAGUUGCUACUAUGAUCAGAAACUUAUAAACUUUUUUUCUCGAAGAUAUGCUCAUACAUGCAUGUUCUACCAAUGCAUAUAUAUAUAUAUAUAUAUAUAUAUAUAUAUAUAUAUAUAUAUAUAUAUAAUUUGUGAAUGGCCCUUGAGAGUGGUUAUUUUUGCAUUUACAAGAAUUGAUAGCCUUUUCUACCACUAUCAUUGCUGGCUGACUGCCAAAUUUCUUUCUAGCCUCCAUCUUGCACUUGCAUUUCAUUUUCAUGCCAAAGUUUGUGUUCCACGCGUCGAGAUGGUGUUAAUGCCGACACAAAAAAAAAAAAACAUUUAUAACGUUAGAAAUUUUUCUAAUUUGAUCAACACUUUCCCCCCCGUCUAAUGUGUAUUCCACGUGUAACACUCUUUUUAAUCGUGGAAAGUUCCAUGGAUACUUUGGAGUAAUGGAUUCACAGGGUAUUUUUCCAAGGUCUGUUUUGCUGAAAGAUCAUGUACUGAUUACUGACUCGUCUAAGUGUGUGUUUUAGUUGUUGUGGAGAGGUGAUUUUAAAAAAAUAUUUUUUAUUUAAAAAUAUAUUUUAAUUUUUAAUAUUGAUAUAUUAAAAUUAUUAAAAAUAAAAUUAAUUUGAUGAUUUUGAGGCAAACAUACUUUUGAAACACACACAAACACAAUUAAAAAUGUAUUUUCAAACUAUCAUUAAAUCCUGUUUGGGAUGUGGUUUAAACCGUUUUCUUUAAUUAAAAUUUUAAUUUUUUUUAAAUUAAUUUUUUAGUGUUUUUUGAUCACUUUAAUAUCCAGAUAUCAAAAAUAAAUUUUAAAAAUAAAAAAAUUAUUUUAAUAUAUUUCUAAAUGAAAAACACUUUGAAAACAACAUAUAUUUCAUAUUUCCACACAGUCUCUAAAAAGUCUUGAAAUUUAAAUUUUGAGCUCGACAUUCAAAUAACAUUUAUUAAUUUUUUUAAAAAUACAUCAAAUCAAAUCAAUACAAGAAUAUAUUUUUAAGAUUAUUUGAAAAAUAACUUGAUAAAGACUAACAAAUAAACUAAUUUGACAAUAUUAUAUUUAUUUUAUCAUUAAAAAAUAAGAGUUUGAAACAUAAAAUUCAACAUGACCCGAUAGAAAAAGUUGAGGUUUUUAAUUAAAAGAAAUCUCAAAAUGCAUUUUUCUGUUAUUGAAAUUAAUAUUUUAUCCAGCCCCUUGAAAUUAACCAAAUAUGUUAUAAUAUUUGUUAUUGAAAUUAACUGAUAUAUGUAUCUCCCUCUGGUUUCAAACACAGAGUGUUGAGUGGAAAAUUAACCUCAACAAAGAAGAAUGAAGAAUUGAAAAUGAUAUCAUAUUGUGUUUUGAAAGGCUUUUUUUUUUAAAUUAAAUAUUUUUACUUUAAAUUAAUAUAUUUUUAAUGUUUUUAGAUAUUUUGGUAUGCUAACGUUAAAUUUUUUUAAUAUAUAUUUUUUUAAUAUAUUUUAAAAUAAAAAAUAUUUUAAAAAAUAACUGUUAUUACACUACAAAACAUUCUUUUAAUUAUUUACUUAAUUAACCAAGCAGCCGAAAAUCCGGAAGAAAUACAUGUCUUAUCCUUUAGCAUUGUAGAAGAGGUCAGUUCAUUUUGUCUUCCUUGUCAUUAUCGUUGCAAGCUAUACUAUAAUGAUGUGACUUCACAUGCAUGUUAACAUGCAUGGUGUCUUGGAUUUGUCAACACGUGUCACCUUAUUCACUUAUAUACGCACCAAGCCUCAUACCAUGCAUGUAACCAGAACAAACCUGGUUGAUUUCACAUUAAAAUAGCGGAGUGGUUAGACGCGUUCUCGUCGCUUAUAAAAUCUGGGGUUCAACCCCUCUCUUCGUCUGCAGUCGGUUUUUUGGGGAGCACUUGCCACCCGGUGCGCAAAGGGAUUAGUCUGGGCCAGCGCUCAGAAUACCCUUGGUUCUACCAAAAAAAAAUAAAAUUAAUGUGCCGUGUAUAAAAGUAUUAUAUUAGUUUUAUUUUAAAGUAUUUUUUAUUUAAAAAUAUAUAAAAAUUUAAUAUUAAUAUAUCAAAAUAUUUUAAAAAAGUUAAAAAAUUCACGAUUUCGCAAAAACAAAUAUUUCCUAAAUUAAUAUAGAGCUUUUUUUAAAAGAAAUUCUAGAUGAAAGUGUUUUUGAGUUAGUUUAUGUAUCUAAUGAGAUUAAGUUAUUUCUAGAUGAUUUAAUUUAAGACCAUAUUAAUUUUUUACAUCAAUUUCAUUAAAUUUAGAUAUUGUUUUUUAAUUAAACCUAGAAAAUCAAAGAACAAAACAUUUUCAAUUAUCAGACCAAUCUCUCAAAAUCAAAGUAAAUUAGUUCACAUAAAUAAUCAUAACCCAUCAAAAUUUAAAACCCAGCACUGAUUUUUAAGGAGUUUGUUGGCCGAGCCGAAGCCGUAAAGAAUGCCGCUGGUGAUUAAAAGGGGUAUUUCAAUCCACAAUUUUGAGAUGAUAUUUUAUUUUUUAAAAAAGAAAAAGAAAAUUCUAGAGAUUCAUUCAUUUAAUUAUAGUCAUUAACAAUAUCGAGCACUAUUUUAAUUUAUGGGUAACACCACCGGUAUUAGAAAUUGAAGAAAUUUUGGAGUUGAGGUGCUUUCUUCCCAUGAAAAUAUUGGCAAGCUCAGAGGUGUAAAGAACACAAAACACACCCAUCAAAGCAAAUGCCGAAGGAAUUACUAGUUGUUUCAGGCAAGAUAAUAUUGAAAACUGAUAAAAAUAAUAACAAUAAAAACAGAAUGUUCCCUCUCUCUUUCUCUGAGGAUGUGUGGUGCAAUCCUCUCUUGGGAGACAACCUGCUGCAAGCCUAAUCCCUGACUUUUGUCUUUAGCUUUUCCUUUCCUCUUCAUUAUCAUUUCAUGUCCAUAGGUUUCUUGAGUUAACGCAGAGGGUAAUUUCUUGACUUUCUAUACCCUUUCUUUUCACUAUUGCCUUGUAUGCUCUUCAUGUUCAAAGUUACCCAAGCCCCAAUUUACUUUCUGUGCUAUAUAUACUACUACAGUCCCUCUGCUAGCCAAAGUGCCAAAUCAACCUAUUCUUUCUCUUGCUCCUUUCACCAUGGCAGACCCUUGCUCUAAUCUCUUCAGUACUGGAUCUUUCAACUUCGUGCUUCUUAAUCCUCACUACAGUACUGCUUUCACUUCUUACUCGAAUCCUUCUAGCCUUCAUGCUUUCUCAAACAACUACUCGCUCGACAACAAAUCUUCAAUUCCUCCCUCAUCGCCUCCUCCAAAAGAAGCCCUUCCCCUGAUAGAAUACUUAAGUCCCGCAAGACAACAAGAAGAGCAUCGUGAUUCCUCAUGCAGUUCCAUGGAAGAGGACAAGAACAUGAAAAAAGAUGAUGAUAACCUCUUUUUUAGUACUGCAGAUGGUAAUGUUGAGCCCGUGACUGUAGCUCUGCAUAUAGGCCUCCCUAACCCUAGUUCCGAUCUGGAGAUCAGGGCACUUAGGGUUUUCCCAUCUCCAAAUGCACCAGAUAAGGGAGAGAUGAGUGCAGUUUCAGGGUACCCUUUGGAGAAACUAAACAAGGGUCAGUAUUGGAUUCCUACACCUUCCCAGAUUCUUAUUGGUCCAAGUCAAUUUUCAUGUCCUCUUUGCUCCAAGACCUUUAACAGAUACAACAACUUGCAGGUAUGCCCGGCUUUCUUGAAAGACGUCUCCUUAAGCUCUUCCUGUCUCUCUUUUCCUUUUUUCUUGCUCCAUUCCUGCUGGAUCUAGGUACUUUAUUUUUAAUAAUUUGCUAUUAUUAGUUAACUUGUACGAGUAGUACAGUGCUAGCCUAGACUGCAGAAUUGGUCUCUGUCUUUAAUUUUAUGGUUGAUUUCCAUUUUGAAUACACUAUACAUGUAUAUAUAUCUUGAGAUCUGCAGUGAGUAAUAAUUGAUUGUCGUUUUUUUUUCAAGUUCCAACUGAGAUUUUUUGCUUGAUUUGACCUUUCAUGAGACGUCCUUGUACUUUUGUUACUUUGAAGAUCAUGCUAAGGUCAGUUGCUGAGGUGGGUUAAAGAAAAACUGCAAAUAAAUAGAGCGCUUCAGAGUUCUGAGAAUCAACAGAUAGGCUAGCUGAACAGUGAAAUUCAGAGUGCUCCGAUGUCCGAUCCUUUUCAUGCCUGUGAAAGUUCACCCUGGAUCCCUUUUUUUUUACUAAAACCUGAUCAGUACUGUGUCCCUCUAAAGGCACCUAUUAAUGGUUAACAAAAAUACUAAACAUAAUGUCUGUUAUAACUAAUACUAGUAUUUCUGCAACCCUAAAUCAAGAAUAAAGCCUGGCAUGGACAAUCUCUCAAGGUUAACAGAAUAUUUACCAAUUCCCUUGAUAGUAAGGAGGCUGCUAAAAUCAUCUCCCAACCUUGAUUUCGUUUUCUUGUAAUCAAUUUUGCCUAGUUUCUUUUAUUGUAUAUAUAAUUAACUCAUGACCCAGUAGUCCUCUCACAUGGAUCAAAUGUCAAGUUUUUAGUCAUGUCCCCCUCUACGUACCUAGAAGCUCACAUGCACAUUCACUUCUCUUAAAUUAAAGUAGGCCUUGCACAAUUAAAUGGAUGCAUAUAGUUUCCAUCUGGGGAAAGGAAAGUUAUAAUUCCUUAUGUAACCAUUUGCAAAAAUUUCUAGGUGCUGCUUUUUUUAGGUGUUUUACACAGCUUCUUCUGUUUUUAUAAAAAAAUAUUAAAUUAUUGUUUUUUUAGUAUUUUAUCAUGUUUUAAUAUAAAAAAAUAUUAUUUUAAUAUAUUUUCAAAUAAAAUAAUUAUUUUUUUAAAAAUCUUCCUUUAGAAUACCAAUCACCCCUAAGAGUUCCUUGUAUACAUUGAUGCUUUGCUCUUUCGGUCUCUAUUUAUAUCUAAGCUAUCUCACUGGGUUUUGGUUAAUAUUGCAGAUGCAUAUGUGGGGACAUGGAUCUCAGUACAGAAAAGGACCUGACUCUUUAAGAGGAACCCAGCCAACAGCGAUGCUAAGACUUCCAUGUUAUUGUUGUGCAACAGGUUGCAAGCACAACAUUGAUCAUCCAAGUGCAAGACCGCUCAAAGAUUUUAGAACUCUCCAAACACAUUACAAGAGAAAGCAUGGGAUCAAACCCUUUAUGUGUAGAAAAUGUGGUAAGCCAUUUGCUGUGAAAGGAGAUUGGAGAACACAUGAAAAGAACUGUGGGAAAAUAUGGUAUUGCAUUUGUGGGUCUGAUUUUAAGCACAAGAGGUCUCUAAAAGACCACAUUAAGGCCUUUGGCCAUGGCCAUGUUGGCAUUGAUUGCUUUGAAGAAGAGGAUGAACUAGCAUCUGAAAGUACUGAACAUGAUGGGGAAUCCUGUAUGUGAUCAUCAAUAGGGUUUUCGGUGAAUUUCACCACCUUCAUAUGGACAUAUUCUUGUUAGCUUCCAUUAAUUUCUCAUGGGUGCAUUAAUUUGUUUAGUUCCCCGGUUUUUCUCGCCGGUGUAUUUCUAGGCAUAAUGUUAAUUAGGUUCCAUGACUAUGUUAGACCAAGUUGUGUAAAUCCACCCACUUACAAGGAAGAAACUAAACAAGUGAAGUCUUAUUAUUCUUCUUCUUUUCUCAAAUGGAGUUAAGAGCAAAUUAAGUUCUGAUAAGGGCUUGCAAGUCAAGCCUUGUUAAUUAUGAACUGCAGUUGGUUAAUUAGCAGUGGACUUCGAAUAGAUUAUUGUGAUUCUUCUUCCUUUUCUUUUAAUCCAUUGGAAGUGCUGCCAAGUCUUUAUAAUAAGUGCAUGUUGCUAUAUUAGUAAAUGCAAAUUUUGUGUCGGGAACAAGCAUGCAUUAUGUAAUUUUCAUUGAACAUGGUGCAGGAUUUUUUUUUCCCUUUCUACAAAUGAAAAGACGAUCAAUUGGAAGUUCUAAUGUUCUUCCAUUUUCUUAUCCCUUUCAUCUUAGGUAUGUAUGAUGCAGGAUUUAUCCCCAAAUCCUUUUAUUUUGCACGAAAUUGUUAGAUUCCAUAAAUCUAAACAUAUUUAUAAAACAAUUUGCAUUUAAGUAUGCUAUUGAUGAAAAAUAAUUAAAGAUUUUUUUAAAAUUUUAGUACUUCUAAACUUUAAUACCCUCAAAUUUAAUUAUGUAUUUCUAUAAGUAAAAAUCUGGAUUUCAAUGUAUAAGCCUAGGAAUCAAAAACAUUUAUUUAUAUAACAAGAAUCUCAUUAAACUUCUGUUGAUAUAACUGUGAUGCCAUUAAUUUUAAAAAUAUUAAUAUGUGAGUUAAUUUAUUGGAUUAAAUUAAAUUUCAUGGAAAAACCGAAUCCCACAUUAAUGGGGAUUCGUAAAACAUAAAUUUAACAUUCCCUCACUUGAUCCAUACGUUUAAUCCAAUGUCUUAACUUAACCCCAUUCCUUAACUUUCUUAGAAAACAAAUGCAUGAAUCAUAGCAAGAAGUCCUCGAAUAACAAGUAUUGCAUUCCAUGUAUUACAAUGCAUAAAUUUUUUCAAGUGUUAUUUUAUAUGUGCCAACCUUACUAAACGAAUAAGCCUUAUGUUUAUUAUUGGUACUAUACAAAUAAAUUUUCUCAAAUAAACUAAGGUGCGUAUAAAUAUAAAAAAACAUCACAAUAAAUAGAACUUCUUUAAAAAUAAUAUAGUUUAUACAACUAAAAUCAGAUAAUGGAACCAAGUUUUAUUUUUCACUUGGCAUGCCCUGAGUCAAAGGAAUUGCAAUCAUCAAUUCUGUUGAUAUGUUUACUUUAUUUUCCUUGAUGUGUUUCUUAUGACUAAAUACUAAUAGGAAUUAAUGUGUUUAAUGACUAAUUUAUUUUUCUUGACAUGUUCUUUUAUGGCUAAAUACUUGAUGUUAAUAUAUUUACUUCUAAUACCACUUCUAUUAUUCUUAGCUAUAAAAAUAGCAGCAGAAUUAUUGUAAUAUAUUCUUAAUGGCUUAAAAAUAGAAUUCAUGAUUCUAAUCUCAAAUAUGAAACUUUUUAACUAUAUACCAUACGCAGUAGCCUUAAAACAAAAACAAACGUAACUUUUAUAGUGGAAGUGACAAUUAAAAUUUGUUUGGCACUUUUCCAAGAUAUAACUCCACCAAUCAUCAUAAAAAUACAUCUUGAUGUUGGCUUGUGUGAAUCAACACAGACCACUAGAUAGUUGUAAGAAAAGUACAGAGAUAGGACUAAAUAUUGCAUGCUACUUUAAGGGACUAAAUAUUGCAUGUUUAUGUAUAGACGAAUAUUUGGAUUACUCUGAUAUCAUCCCAACAUUCCCACAACAAAUGCAAUGUCAGGUCUUGGACAGACCCGAGCAUGCAUCAGGCUUUCUACAAUAGAAGUAUAUGAAAUGUUCAUUUCUCCCCUUUCAAUAUUAUUUUUCAAGCAUUGGUUCAAAUUAUCACUCUUUAUAAUUGGAGCUAUACUUGGUGAACAAUCUUUCAUUUUAAAUCUCACUAAAACUUUAUUGAUAUAGGUUUUUUAAGACAGACCUAAAACGCCUUUAAAACUAUCUCAAUAGAUCUUAAUACAAAUGAUAUAAGAUGUCUCACCCAUAUCCUUCAUGUUAAAAUUCUUAGAGAGAACUUGUUUCACCUCAUGCAACAAACCUUUGUCAUUUGUUACAAGUAAAAUAUCAUCCACAUAUAAAACAAGAAAAUAAAUUUUACUCCUGCUGACUUUUUGGUAUAUACAUUGAUCCAUGAUGUUUUCUAUAACCCAAAUGAAAAAAGUACAUCAUGGAAUUUAAAGUACCAUUAUCGAGAUACUUAUUUUAAAUUGUAUAUGAAUUUCUUAAGCUUGCAGAUCAAAUGCUCACCAUCACUAGAGGAGAAUCAUUCAAGUUGUUUCAUGUAAACCUCUCCUUUAGAUCUCCAUUGAGAAAUGCAAUUUUCACAUUUAUUUGUUGCAUUUCCAAGUCAAAAUAUGCUAUUAAUAUCAAAAUAAUAUGCAGAUAAUCUUUAUUAAAUAUGAGGAAAAAAGUCUCUAUGUAAUCUAUUCCUUCAUUUUGAGUGAAUCCCUUAGCAACAUGUCAUACCAUGUCUUUUAAUGCUGUCAAAAAGUCUAUCUUUGUCCUAAAGACCUAUUUACAUCCAAUAGCUCUUGCAUUAUUUGGCAACUCAACAACAUCCUAAACUCUGUUACUUUUCAUAGAAUUCAUCUAUUUCUUCAUAGUAUUGUACCAAAAUUAUGAUUUUAUGCAACUUAUAGCAUGUGAAGAUGAUUUAGGAUCAUUUUUACUCUAAUGUUAUAGUUAAAUUCUUGUAGAUACACAACAUAAUCAUUAAGAAUUGCUUAUCUCUUCAUUCUAGUAGAUCUUCUCAAUGUUGUACCAUCAUUUUCUUGAGAAGUAUUUGAUUCAACUAGUUGUUUAGAAAUUCUUGGUAAUGCUUGAACUACCUGAUCUAUUCGAAUUUAAUGGACCUCUUCACGAGCACAAACACCAGGUUGGUGUUCAACAUUUUGAAGUAACUUAAUAACUUAUUUCAAAUUAUUGUAGAAGGAAUUUUCUUAGAUAAUAAUUUUAGUAUAAAGUUAUGAAAUAAAGAUGUAGUUUAAUGCCUUGUUGAAUGGGCGAGUUCAAAAGAUUAUUUUCUAGUAAAUGAAAAUAAUACCCUGUUGAAUGGAUGAGUUUAAAAGAUUAUUUCAUGGUUAAUAGAAAUAAUGCUCUGUUGAAUGGGCAAGUUAAAAAAAUUAUUUCAUGGUUAAUAGAAAUAAUGCCUUGAUAAAUGGGUACAUGAAGAUGAUGAUUUCCUGGUUAAGAAAAAUAGUGUCCUGACAUAUGGCACGUUAAGAGAAUUAACUCCAUGAUUAAUGAGAUAAAUACUUGGUUAAUGGAUAAUUGUAGAAUUUAAUUGAUUUAGAUUGAUGUUAAAUAUGUGAAUUUGUUAGAAACACUCUUGAUAAUUUAAAAAAUUUAUUUAUAUUUUGUAUUAAGAAUUGAUGAAAUCAUUGAAUGACUAAAUAUAAGAUAUUUCAUUUAAUGAUGCGAGAAUUACAUUAAUGCAUAUGAAUAGUUAGUCCUUAGUUAUUUGUUUAUUGUAAUGUUCAAUUUUAACCAUGUUUAAUAUGAUUAUAUCUUUAGGUACAUCGCACCAUCGAACUAGAAAGUAGAUGCAUGAAUAGAUAAUUUUGUUAAGUAAUUGAUGUUAUUGGAAGAACCAAUAUUUUAUUGUAUUACACUCUUGUAUUUAAGAAUUGUAAUAUUUAACUUAAUUACUUAUGUAUGAUGUAAUUUAACAUGUUGCUUUUAUUAAGUUGAAUUAUAGUUGGUUGUAUACAUAUUUUAAAUAUAAUUACAUUUGAAAGAAUUUGAUGCAUGCUAUGAAUUAAUUAGCUUUAAAUAAUUAUUCUAUAGAAUAUGGAAAUGAUAAUUUGAUAUUAUGGUUGAGUUUUAAAGGUCUAGAUGAUGGAUGAUUAUUGUGAUUGAUGUUUACAGGUUGAGAAAUAUAUAUUUAGUCGAUAACUUGGUAUAAAAAAAAUACAAAGGAGACUCUGCUGAAAUUUUGAUUAUAUAUAUAUAUAUAUAAAAUAAAAGUGGUAGCUACUGGUGUAUGUAUUAUAAUUUGUGAUUAUAUUUACGGUUGUUACAAGAUAUGUUUUGUUGCAGAUUAGUUGAUAAUUUUGCUUUCACCUCCAAAAUACAUAUGUUGUCUGAUUAUAUGUUUUUUGAUCUUACAUUAUUUUAUCAAAUUAUUGGUACUUUUUAAUAUCUUACUUUUACGAGACCGGAUAUUAUAAAUAAAGUAUGUGGGUUUAUGCAUGUUUUUAUUAAUAUAUAGUGGGUUGUUAUUAAACACAUUCAGUGUUAUUUAAAAGGUAUAGUUUCUUGUGGUUUGCAUAUUACUUGCAGCUCAUCCUUCUCUCUUCAUGGUUAUAUAAAUAUUAAUUAGGCUGAUAGUAUUAAUAACCAUAAUUCAAAGGUGCUUGUCUUGUGUAUUUCGACAUAUCAAUUUUUUGAAAAUUCAUCAGGCAAAUAAUUAACGAAACUUCGUCAAUUAACUAUACACUAGCUAACCAGCAUUAAAAAAAAUAAAAAAAUUCGCUAGAUGGCACCCGAAAACAGAGAGAGGUAGUAAAUCAUGUAUCGUAAUUGUGUAACGAUAGGUCAUGUAUAUAUGGCAGUGCAAAUAUAAAAUAUUUAUUUUUUAUUUUUUCAUUUUGCGGGUGGGCUAUUCUCAGAUUACUUUUUAUAUAAGAAAUGGAAUCUAAAUUUAUGUCUCCGUUAAAAACAAAUUAUCUAUAUUAUAGGUAAAUGAUUUGUAAAAGUUUUCAUUCUUACGUCUGAGUUGAGAUUUUUGAACCACCUUAAUAAAAGAACUGAUAUAAUUAUGAAGGGUGUAACUCAACUGAUCAGAUUUUAAAUUUGUUUUUUAGAAAAUACCAGUUCGAGUUUUAUAAAUUUUAAGGUCAUUAAAAAUUUAUAUGGUCAUUAACUUUAAGGCCUACAAAAUUAAUUAAAGUAUAAAAAAAAAGUAAAAAAGAAGUUUCAAAAUUAUAGCCGAUGAAAAAAAGAUUUUGAAUUAAAAAGUUAUGAAUAAUCAAUUUUCUAGAAGAUAAAUUAAACAUGUUUAUACUAAUCAUAGAUCUAAAUUCUUAUUAAAGUUACAUGGUUAAUAAAAUCUAACUAGCGUAAUAUAUAGCUCACAAACUAAAUAAAAAAAAGUAAAAUAACUAAUAAAGAUAAAGAAAAACACAAAUAACAAAUCCUAUAUGUGAGUUGGAAUUGUUAAUACGCUUAUGAUAAAGGCCUUGAUUAAUUUCUAUCUGCCUCUGUUCUUGUAAAUGAUGAAACUAUAAUUUGGAUUGAGUUAAGAGUUGAAAAGGAGGGUGAUUAAGCUCAGAAGCUGGUUCAGGAUAGCUAGCUAGCUAGCUAGCAGGUAGCCUCCUAUAUAUGAGUUGAUCAAGAUCAUAGCCUUUAUAUGCAUGCGGGGUUAUGGCUUGAAGCCUUUAAUUUAAACCAUUUUGAUAGUUUAAUUCUGACUUCAUGUUUUGUUUAGUAAGAAGAAAUGGAAAAUAAAGGAAAGUUCUAUAGGAAAACCAAAUAUUGGAAAUGUUGGGAAAUAAACGAAGUCCCAGUUGAGACCUAUAUCAGUUCUUAUUUUCACUUCAAACAGAGAUGAUCAUUAUACCACACUUUGUUAUUUAAAAACUUGAAACAAAAUCUUGAUGAUAAAAUAAAUUAACAAAUGGAAGGGAAAAACCAUCCUUUCUAUGAUCUAAUCAGGGAAAAGCCAAAAAGAUGACAAUGAAGCUGUAGACACCUUGAGCCAUGGUGCAGCUGGAGUUCAAGAACACUAGCAAAGAGGAAGGAAAAAAAGAAGCAAAAAGAUGAUAUAGAUUAUAGGCCCAUGUGUUCAGUUCGAAAUUCAUGGGCCACUAUUAUAUACUGUACUGGACAGUUUUCUAUGAUUUGGCUUUACUAUAAACUCUUACCAGCCCAUCGAUGGCCUCUAUCUCUGUCAGGUGAAUCUGCAAGCAUGGCUAUGACAUACCCUCUCUCCCAAACCCUUGACCACACGCCACCUAAUGUGUUAAAAAUCAGGUCAUCUUCAGAAAUUGAUGGAACAAAACCACAUAUCACUCAACUCCGAACCAAGAAGCGUUGCUUGAGGUGCAACACUCUUUAUCUUGACAAAGAUAAUUCCCCAAUUGCCUGCUCUUUCCAUGGCCACACCACAGGUAUGCAACCAUGCAUAUUCCUCCUCACCAACUUGCUAAAGGUUCCCUGUCUUCCAUUUUUAUAUGGGAGUCUUAUGCUUGCAACGUUUUGUGCAGGGGAGAAGGGCUUAUUUUCUUUGUCUCCUCCUCACCAAGGGAUUGACGGAGAGUGGAGCGACCGCUCUGGAGUGAUAGUGUAUAAAUGGAAUGACAAGAAUAAUAGACCAAAUACUGGAAGUGUCAAUUGGAAGAAAAGAUGGAGUUGCUGUGCUGAGUAUGAUGAAAAUGCCUCACCUUGUAGACGAGGGUGGCAUGUUUCAUAUGAUGAUGGCUUCACUUUGUAUUAGCCCAAAUUGGUUUGUAAGCAAAAUCCAGAAGCACAAGUAACAAUUGCAAAUCCUGAAGGAUAUCAAGAAUUGUGUUGUGUAUGUUUCUUUGUUUUUAUGUACCCAUAUGUAAAGCAUUUUGGAUGAAGUGGAAAUGCAAAUGCAAUCAUGUUUCAUAUGAUAUCUGUCUCUCUUUUCUGGCUAAACAGAGCAAUUUGAUUUGUUUCGGCUUUUUGACGCGUUCAACAGCCACAAUUGCUUGUAAGCUGUUGGGUAUGAUUAUAAUUGACAGAAUAUUAUUUGAUGGUAAAAUGCUUUGCUUUUAAGCUGGAAUUCAAAGUAUUCUACUAUAGGAUACAUGUAAAAUUAAGCUUUCACACAGUGGGUAACUAUUCUAGCAAAGUUUGGUAAAAAUUUUGGGAAAAUAACAUAAGUGAGAGUUGUAAUUGAGGUUGAUUCAAAAUUCAUGUCUCAUUCAACAUUUACGAAAAUCAAUCCAAAAUUUUAUGAAGAUCAAAUGAUUAAGAGAUAAGAUUUAAGAUCCGAUAAUCAAGAAAAUAAGAAAAUAAGUUGAUGUAGCAGGAGAGAGAAUGAGGGGGGAAAAAUAAAGAAAUAAUGGAUCACUGGGGAUACAUUAAACUUUGUUUUCGACGCACCUGAUACCAUUAAAAAAAACUUGACGAAACAAUUUUAACCACACCUUGAAACCAAACAAGGUCCUAAUUAGCUAGAGAUUUUGUUCAGGGUUAAUGUAGGGUUAUUUAAGACCUUGUUUGAAGGUUUUUUAAAGUAUAGUUAGAAUUGUUUUGUUGAAAUUUUUCUAACAAUGUUUGGUAUGUAAAAAAAUUCAGAACUUCGAUAUGUAUCCGAUGACCCAUUUUUUAUCUUCCUUUUUUUUUUCUUCAUAUUUCUCUUUUAUACCACAUCAUCUCAUCUCGUUUCUCUUUUUUGGCCACAUUGAAUCUUGAAUCUUAUCUUUCAGCCAUUAAAACUUCAUAAAAUUUUAGGUUGAUUUUUGUUUAGUGUAAUUAAUUUGUAUAAGACAUGAAUUUUAGUUUUGACUAAACAACUACUAUUGUUAUAUACAAAAUAUAUAUUCAAAAAUAUAGUUGUGUUCAAACUAUAUUAUCUUUCAAAUACUUUUCCAACCUAUGUUAUUUUCUUAAAAUUUUUACCAAACAGAGUCUUUUUUCAAAAACAAUUAUCAGAGUCCCCAUUAACCGAAGCUAUAAAAUUCCUUGGCAAUAUGUAAAUAUCUAUUUUGUAUUACUACUUAUACCAAAACCAUUGUUGGAAUGUAUUUUGAUUAAAAAAAAAGGCAGCAGAAGUCAGAGUGUCAAAAAAUCAUCUCAACCCAAUAACUUAAGUUUUUAGGUAAGGUCUCAUGAUAUGAUUUAUAUUAUUCUCUAACACACCCCAUCAAGUGAAAGCCCUUUGGGCUUGAAAUUUAUAUAGGCUCACACUACCUUGUGUUCAAUUUUUAUCAAAUAAAUAGGAAUGAUGAGAUUCGAACUUAUAAUCGCUUGGUCAUCAAAACUCUGAUACUAUAUUAAAGAACCAAUUCAACUAAAAAGCCAGCGGAGAAUACGGAAUUCAUACAAUAUGCAUGUCUAUCCAGUUCAAAAGCUCAUGUUUCAGGGCAAUGUGUCUCUCUCUGAUACCAUGCCUAAUCUUGAUACUUGAAGCAGUUGAUGAAGAGCUAUCCAUAGUGAACGGCUACACUAUAGUUAGGGCCAACACUAUGAAACAGAACAUCAUGGAAAUGAACAUUUUGAUGAUCACUUGAGAUCUGUCAGGUUUAUCUUCCAUGCUUUUCGUCCAACAUCUUAAUUCACUUUUUCACCGCCAAAAUGUUCACCUGUCAUGAUCUCAGUUAGCAACUGUUAAUUUAAACUCCCUGCUGUAUACUUUCUGCAAUUACUAUAUAUCAUAAGAUGACCACAGUACAGAAUACAUUUCACAAACUUGAUUUCUAUCUCUUGCUGGUGCUGAGUUUCAAAGGGCAAAAUUCCACCUACAAAUUAAAUUAACAAAUAAAGAUACAUUAUAAGCUAUAACAAAAGGUUUAUAAAAACAAGAAGUCUUUUCUUUACAUAAAAUUUGAAGAUCAAAGACACCCAGAACAAGUAAUCAAGCUUCAGCUCGUAUUAAACCAAGCCUUUCACGCACGCCCCUCCAAUACUAGACAGCAGUCUUAAAUGACUCAUGAAGAUGCCUCAAUGUUUCUUGAUCCCUAUUCCUUCCAGGUGUUGGUGCGUUGACAAAAUGAGCAUACAACUUAUUAUUAACACGAGUAACCUUGAUCAAGCUAUGUGUCCCAACACCAUCAAUCUCAUCAAACAUAAUACAGCUGUCCAUUCCCGUCUUUCUUCUCUUCGCUCACCACACCAUCUGCAGUAGAUAUCAAGUCUUGCAAGUCCACGUCGGACAAGGCCAGGUUUUAUUUACACAGCAUCUUUUGGAGCUAGCUGCCUGAAACCAGCAAGAAAUGUUAAGUGCUCCUUUUCAGUUCUCUUUUUUGGAUUGUAGAACUCACUAUGAUCAGUUCCGUUGGUACCCUUUUCAACUUUGGAGACCUAACGUUCUUUCCACCCAUCAGGGACAUCAUAGACGUGCUCAGCAGAAGCUUUCUUGUCGGAGUUGCCACCGUACAGCCAUAAUUGGCAGCACUGGAUGCGGUGCCGUAGUAGAUGUGAAAAGUUUGUGAAGGGUCUACUAGGGAAGGGGUUAUUAUGGAAAGAGUCCUAUAUAUAUAUAUAUAUAUAUGUAAAUACCUUGUAUAGGAAUAAUUAUCAUGUAUAAUAGAUUCCACCCUUGUAUUAUACACAACCCUAAAGGUAUUAAUAUCAAGGAAGGGCUGCUGUGAUUGGCGUCCAACACAUUAUACAUUAAUUCAAUCUCUUUACAAAACUCAACUUGGUAUCAGAGCAGCAACAAAAUCUUCCUUCACGCUUCUGGUUUAUUGUUCGGUCAUCUCCUCCAGACCGUUGCACUCCUCUGCUUCCGUCUUCAUUCAGGGUAGUUUCUUUCAGCCCUUCCUCCCUCACUUGUCUGUCUGCCUCUCCCUCUCUCUUAACAAUGGACAACCAAGAACUUCAACAAGGUGCUGCUGUUGCACCAAUCUCUCAAUCCUCUUUAGCGGCUGCUACUGCAAGCAUAGUUCCUAUACACUCUUCUCUAGAUACCAUGAACAGGUCUGCCAUCAUUCCUCUUUCUAAUACACAGCAGGUAAUCUCCUUACGACUCUCCAAUACCAAUUUCUUGUAUUGGAGGAUGCAGAUGAAACCGUUUCUCUUGGGCCAAGGUGUGUACUCCUUUGUUGAUGGCACCUCACCAUGUCCUCCCUCUCAUCUUAUAUCUACUACAACAUCCUUACCAUCGGUCAAUCCUUCAUAUCUACUAUGGACACAACAAGAUCACCUAAUCAUGAGUGCUCUUUUAUCCUCGCUCUCCACAGAAGUGCUGCAUCUAGUUGUGGAUUGUAAAACUUCUCAAGAAAUCUGGACAACGCUGGAAACUGCCCUUGCUUCCCCUUCAAACUCACGGAUUAUGCAGCUCCACGGUGCAUUCCAAGAAUUACGACAGCAUGAUGACUCUGCCAGCACUUAUUUGCAGAAGGCUAAGGCCUUGUUUGAUGAACUUGCAGCUGCUGGCAGACCAAUCUCCAUGGCCGAAUUUAAUUUGUAUGUGUUUCGGGGGUUACGCAGUGAUUUUAAGGAUCUGGUAACCAGCCUGUCCACUAAGGCUGAUCCCAUCUCUUACACAGACCUCCAUAGCCAUCUCCUCACACAUGAAUUUCUCCAUAAGGCUUCACUCCAUCCUGCUGUAACAGCUCCUCUGUUACCAACUCCAUCACAGCAGCCAUCUGCAUUUUUUGGGCAGCGUCAGUUUGGUUCCAGUACUGGAAGAAGGGGCCGGUUUCGUGGGGGUUGGAGACAGAGUAAUCGUAGCUACAAUCGUGGGAAUCAUGGCUAUAGUUCAGACUCAGCAAAUAAUAGUUAUGGUUAUGGUUCAGGUCCGAAAUUUGGACAACAGCAAAACCGUUUUUCAUCUGGCUCUGGUCAGCAGUUUGGGCAACAAGGAAACCGAUUGGGAGGCUAUAACAGAACUGCGAAGUGUCAGCUGUGUUAUGACUAUGGACAUACCGCCCAGCAGUGCUCUCAAUUGGCUACUCAUAAUCUACAAGCUAAUGCCAAUUUAGCAUUUAAUAAUGCUCCUAUAACUGCUCCUGUUACUUGGUUUCCUGAUACAGGUGCAAAUCAUCAUGUGACACCGGACCUUGCGAGUAUGACGAGCUCAGAACCUUAUUGUGGUAAUGAUCAUUUACAUGUUGGCGAUGGUAAGGGCCUCACUAUUUCUAAUAUUGCUCACUCUAAAAUUCGUUCACCCAAACGCACAUUUACCUUAUCCAAUAUUUUACAUGUGCCUCACAUUAAAAAACCUCUACUUUCUGUUCAAAAGUUUUGUCUUGAGAAUAAUGUGUUUUUUGAAUUUCAUCCAUUUUUAUUUUAUGUUAAGGACCUCAUGACAAAGGAGGUGCUUCUUUCCGGUCGGAGUAGAGAUGGUCUAUAUAUUUUAUCUGCAUCGUCUGCAAUGUCGUUGCCUCAAGUCUUCUCAUCUACAUGUGUCUCUACUUCUACUGAUGUCUGGCAUCGUCGGCUUGGACAUCCUAGUCCACGCAUUCUGAAUUUUCUAGUGUCAACUAAACAGGUGUCCUGUACGUCAAAACAAUUUAAUUUUAAUUGUCUAGCAUGCCCUUUGGGAAAAUCUUCUCGUCUGACUUUAAAAACUACGGGUCAUCAAACUCAAGCUCCUCUUGAUCUAAUUUUUAGUGAUGUUUGGGGUCCUUCCCCUAUGUUUUCGUCCGAUGGUUUUCGCUAUUUUGUUAUUUUUGUGGAUGCCCAUACCAAAUUUAUCUGGUUUUAUCCUUUGGUUGUAAAAUCUGAUGUGUUUGCUAUAUUUCAUCAAUUUCAAGCACUCGUUGAACGCCAAUUUUCUUUAAAAAUUAAGUCUGUUCAAACAGAUUGGGGUGGUGAAUAUCGCAAACUCAAUACAUAUUUCAAAACCAUUGGUAUUCAGCAUCGUGUUAUUUGUCCGCAUACUCAUGAACAAAAUGGAAUGGUUGAACGUCGUCAUCGACAUAUUGUUGAAACUGGGCUCACUCUUCUUGGCCAAUGUAAAGCUCCCCUAAAAUACUGGAGUUAUGCUUUUGAAAGUUCAGUAUAUUUGAUUAAUCGCAUGCCCACUGCUGUUCUUAAUCAUAAAACACCAUUUGAAUGUCUUUUAAAAUCAACUCCUGAUUAUGCUUUCCUCCGCACUUUCGGGUGUCUUUGCUUUCCAUUUCUUCGUCCAUACAAUGCUCAUAAGUUAGAUUUUCGGUCAUCCCCUUGUGUCUUUCUAGGAUAUAGCAAUUCACAUUUAGGAUAUCGAUGUCUUGAUUUGUCGUCAAACCGUAUUUAUCUUGCUCGUCAUGUUCGUUUUCAUGAAACUGUUUUCCCUCUUGACAAAACUGAACAGAUUGUAGAUUCACCCAUACAACCUCCUGCUGCUACUUUACAGCCCAUCCCAUCAUCCUAUCCAAACACUCACCCGGCACCCCCUGCACCCCCUGCACAUAACACAACCCUUUGGGCAGCCUUACCAUUACCUGCAUAUCACUGUCAUGAUCAUUCCUCAGGUACAGGUUCAGACUUGCCGUUCUCUCUUGCUGGUUCAUCUGCCGUCUUCCCUGUUGUUCCCACCAGCAGUGAACAACGUGUGGAGGUCACCCCUGAUGGUUCCCCUGUCAGCUCCCCUGUUCGUCUCCCCAGGAGUGAACAGAUUGUGACUGUCUCACCUGCUGUUUCCCCUUCUCGGCUUGGCCCUGUAUUGAGCUCCUCAUCGCCAGGUUCUUCAUCUAUUUCCUCUCCUGGAAUUAAUUUAUGUGUUGAUUUGUCUCAAUUCUCCCUUCAGCAAGCCACGACUAGUGAGUCUGCCACUCCCCCUCCUGCUGCCCGCACCCACUCCAUGGUACUUCGCCCACGUGUAUCCAAGACAGCAAAUUUUAGUGUCUCCCCUGCCUCCCGGGUAGUUUCUCUACCUCAACAGGAACCACUUUCUUUCAAAGAUGCCAACCGGUACUUGAUUUGGCAUAAUGCUAUGAUAGAGGAAAUCAAGGCACUUCAUGGUAAUCACACUUGGUCACUGGUGCCCUUACAUCCAUCCAUGAAUGUGGUAGGUAGUAGGUGGGUUUAUAAGAUUAAGCGGCACGCUGAUGGUCGAAUUGACAGAUAUAAAGCACGGUUGGUUGCCCGCGGUUUCACGCAGCAAGAAGGGAUUGAUUACUUGGAGACAUUUAGUCCAGUGGUUAAGCCUACCACGGUUCGACUUGUGAUCACGAUUGCUGUCACACAUGGUUGGAAAAUUCAUCAGUUAGAUGUCCAUAAUGCCUUCCUGAAUGGCAUUCUUCAGGAAGAAGUGUACAUGGCACAACCACCUGGCUUUGUUGAUCCUACACUUCCAUCUUAUGUGUGUCGUCUUCAUAAAUCCUUGUAUGGUUUGAAACAAGCACCUCGAGCAUGGUACAAUCGGUUAAGUGAGUUUCUUAUCUCCAUUGGAUUUCAGGCAUCCAAGGUUGAUACUUCUCUGUUUAUUCUAUCCUUUGGUGGUGCAAUGAUCUAUCUGCUUGUGUAUGUUGAUGAUAUUCUAUUAACUGGGAGUGACUCGACCUUGCUUCAACGACUAAUUACUUUGUUGAGUUCAGAGUUUAAGCUUCGGGACUUAGGGUCGGCCCACUUCUUCCUCGGAAUAGAAGUUAAAUCGACUUCUAUGGGUCUCUUACUCAGUCAACACAAGUACACACUAGACAUUAUCCAACGAGCAGGUAUGACUUCUUGCAAACCAGUUGAUACUCCGUUGUCUCCCUCGUCUAAAUUGGGAUCUGUGCCUGGUACUCUUCACUCUACCCCAACACGGUAUAGACAGAUUGUUGGUGCUCUACAGUACCUUACUUUCACUAGACCUGAUAUUUGCUAUGCAGUAAACAAGGUGUGUCAGUUUAUGCAUGCUCCUACUGAGGAUCAUUGGGCAGCAGUUAAACGCAUCUUACGUUACCUUCAGGCUACAGCCACCUAUGGUCUGCAUAUUACUCGGGACUCCUCCUUGUCUCUUCAUGGCUUUACUGAUGCUGACUGGGCUGGCAGUAUUGAUGAUCGAAAAUCCACAGGUGGUUAUCUUGUGUACCUUGGUUCCACUCCUAUUUCCUGGAAAUCUGGGAAACAACGCACUGUUGCUAGAUCCUCUACAGAAGCUGAAUACAAAGCCUUAGCUGAUGGUACUGCUGAAAUCUUGUGGAUUCGCUCUUUAUUGUCAGAACUACGACUUCCAUCUUCACCCAGCACGACGUUAUGGUGUGAUAAUUUAGGGGCCACUUUCCUGUCUGCUAAUCCAGUGUUUCACGCACGUACUAAACAUGUUGAAGUUGAUUAUCACUUUGUUCGUGAUCGCGUUGCUAAGAAAGAAAUUCAGGUACGAUUCAUCUCUUCCAAGGAUCAACUAGCUGAUGUUCUUACCAAGCCUCUCCCUCCAGUUUCGUUUGUUUUCUUUCGAUCCAAGCUUCGGGUGGAGUCUCCACCUUCAGCUUGACGGGGCAUAUUAUGGAAAGAGUCCUAUAUAUAUGUAAAUACCUUGUAUAGGAAUAAUUAUCAUGUAUAAUAGAUUCCACCCUUGUAUUAUACACAACCCUAAAGGUAUUAAUAUCAAGGAAGGGCUGCUGUGAUUGGCGUCCAACACAUUAUACAUUAAUUCAAUCUCUUUACAAAACUCAACUGGGGUAAUGGCAGUUAAUAUUGUGGUGGCUGUAAUGGUGGCAUUGAGUGUUGAUAGUGUUGAGUUCCGAAUAUCAUGCAUCCAACGGAAGUUAUAAAACAAAAUUAUUCGGGAGUUUCUAAAAUCCUGUUAGAUAGAUCUUGAGUUGUUUAGAGAUUUAUUACCUGGAAAUCUAAUCUUUUUCGGCUUUGAAUAAUUUUUUAAAGACUAAGUUAUCGCAAACUACAAGUCGUUCAAUUGUCUGGUUUCCAACGACAAUCCACAUGAAUCACUCGUGUUUUUGUAAUUUUUCUGUCUGACAGACAACCACCUUUUCUUUUAAAAAUAUGAGGCGUAACUUAUUAUUUAUAGGAAAAUCUAAAAAACCCUAUAAAUUAUAAAAAUAUCAAUUUAGCACCUGAAUAAUAUUCAUAUAUUUAUUCAGGAUAAUUUUAGAAAUUAACUCAAUUAAGACCCUACUUGAUUUUUCUAGGUCUAGAAAUAUAAUCUCUCUAUUAAUCAUAUUCUAAUCCUUAAUUUCUAAAAUAUAUUUUAAUCAAUUCAUACUUAAUUAAAUCAUCCCAGUUUAAUUUAUGAUUAAUGGUUCUUAAUGUGUGUGAUUCAUAUUGGCGCAAAUAUAAAUUAUAAUUCUAAUUAAAUAAUUUAACUUAUUAUCAAUUAAAUAAUUGAUUAAUUUAUAUUUAAAGAUCAGAUGCAUCGUCUAGUAACAUGUCAUCAAGGGCGAAGACAUGUUAAAGGCUUGGAUAGGCUAUAGCCCAGGUCAAGAUUUUAUCAAUAUUUAUUUUUGAUAGUUUUAUGUACAUUUUUUUUGUAAUUCUUGAUUAAUUUAUCAAAAAAUUCUGAAAAUUUAUGUGAAGCCCUCUAAUAUGAUGUUUUAGCUUGGGUUAAAAUUUCAGAAUUUUUGGAGAAAUUCAGAAAUUUGAUGAAAAAUCACAAUUUGACCAGUUUUACGUUAUUGGGCGUAAUUUUCAGUCCGACCAUCAGAUUGAGCUAAAAUUUUACGAGGGAUCUUAAAAUAUAUUGAAUAAAAUCUAGUUAAAAUUUUAGGAUGAACGGAGCUUGGUAGUGCUAACAAAAAAAAAUUAAUUACUUUGUUUUCCAGUUAAAAUGAAAUUGUUAUUUUAUCCCGGUUGAGGGGUUAUUACAAUAUCGAUUCAGAUUCGAUUAUAGAUGAAUUAUAUUCCACAAAACAUCGAAGGAUGUAACUUCAAUAGUGGAUUUAUUUUUACUUUCACUUUAAUGUUAUGUACUUUCAAAUUUAUUUUUUAAUAUUUUGGGUAGUGUAUUUGAAUUAAAACUUUACUGUUAACUUCAAAAAUUCAUGUACAUGAGUUAAUAAUUGAUCUUAAAAAAAUUAUUUAUUUAUUUAAUAGCACAUGGCAGGAAAAAUUCCUGGCUUCGCCCUUGCAUGUCAUGAUCCCUAAAUAUUAGAAAAGACAUUAGUAGUUUAACUUAAAUUUUUGGUGACCGGUUUCUCAAUAUAAUUAAUAUCUUUUCAUCAAUAAUAUUCCAAUUUAACAUUAAAGCAUGAAUUAUGUCUGUUAUGUUAAAUCAUGUUUGUUCUCUACAUAAUAGUAAAUGAUUGUUUGAAUAAGAUUUAAAACCUUUUUCAAAUUGCAUUCCACCUUGGUUAAGGAAUUUUCAAUCAAUAUUAUUUGAGAGCAGAUAAAAUAUUUUUUCUAAUUCAUCUGGGGUGAUGAAUCCUCUAUUGAUCACUCAAAUAUCUUCAUAUAGUUCAUGUUAUAACUAAUAUCUGUCUUUCGUUACCUCGAUUAAGAUAACAUGUAAUAAAAUCAAAUUAUAACAUUCUCUAUAUAAGAUAACUUGGUGAUCUAAAGUCUAAGAAUUACUUACACAACCGUCACAUAGCCUUUCCAUAGAUAUAAGUGAUCUCUUUACAUGGAGUUUUCAUGCAGGUCAAUUCAGUGUACAUGUCUUAUGACAAACAUCUACAUAUUAGUUUUAGGUAUCUCUUAUACCUUAGUUUAUGAGAACAAUUGCUUACUUUCAUAAAGAAAAGAAUAUAAUAUGUACCGGUCUCUACGGAUGUAAUGAAUGUCUAAUAUUUAAGAGAGCAUCGAUUAGGAAAUUUUAGGAACAACGCUUUGAAGCAAUAAGAAUCCCAUAAUUAUAAUAACUUUAUAAUCUCCUUUGCAAAAUAUUUUUCUUUACUAUAGAUUAAUAAAUUAAAUAUUAGAUUCAUUAAUCUAAUAUUAUAUGAAUAUUAAAAAUAAAUUAAGCUUUUAUUAACAAUAAAUAUGUAUUUAUAUAAAUAUAAUAAUAUCAUGUGUAACCAAUCGAUUGACUAUAAAGCAUAUUAAACUAAUAGAUAAAUGAAGCUUGUUUGGUGGGGGAAAUGGGCAGGUGGGUUUUGGAGAAUGAUGGGGUUUGUGGUGGCUUUUGGGUGGAGGAGGAGGAGAUGUGGGCAGAUAGAAUGGUCGACAUGGGAUCGGCUAAUGGUGGAUAUGGUGCUUUCUUGUGUUUUAUCUUCUAUUCAACAUUUUCUUAUCCAUUCCAGCAAUGAGGAGAGAGAAUGUUCAUCAGAGCAAAGUAUUGGUUGCCAAUGUUGUUGGACCAAUAAACACCUGCCAGGUCAUGUUCUGCACUCGUGUGUUUUGCUUAGAUUUUUUGGAUGGUACUGAUUAGGAAAUGCAUUGUUCAAUUUCACAAAUUUUGUUGAGAAUCAGUUUUGCAAAACUGAUUCAAUAAUACUUUACAGUUAUUUUUUUAUUUAUUUUCACAGCUGGAAUAUUCUCAAGCUGGUAUUGGUUAAAUCUACUUCUCCGGUUCAGUGGACUGUAUACACCGGAAUUAAAACUCCUCAAGAUAUUUGUUUAAAAGUAGCAAAAUUAAAAUUGAUAAAAAAAAUAAAAAUAGAAACGUGGAGAUGCGGGGGAUCGAACCCCGUGCCUCUCGCAUGCAAAGCGAGCGCUCUACCAUUUGAGCUACAUCCCCGCAGACAAGCGAAUUCCUUAAGUUUAUUAAAAAGAACAAUCCAAUUGCCUUUUGUUCUUUUAAAUUCAAUUUAGCUACAUCCAGGAAUAUAGUGGAGUCUCUUUAAAAAACCUGAUUCGGGUGAGUUUUCUUUUUCGAAAUUGAAUAUAAAAGCAUUGUCUGAUCACGAAAAGAGAAAGAGAAAAAGAAAAAGAAAAAGACAAUGCACCAAGCCACAAAACUAAAGGUAAAAGCUUGUUUUGCAGUGUGGUUGCGAGUGCUUUUUAAAUAAUUUUUCGUGCUAAAAUGCAUGCCAAUGAUUUUUUUUUAUUUUUUAAAAAUUAUUUUUGACAUCAGCACAUCAAAACAAUCCAAAACAUACAAACCAUAUUAAAUUUUAGCAAAAAAAAAAAAGUUUCAAAUUUUUUGGGAACACGAGUUGAACUGCGUUCCCAAACAUUCCCUAAGAGCCGAGGGAGAGAGGGACCAAACAAAAUAAUUUACUAUUUUCAAAUGUCAAUUACCUGCCUAGAAAAAAAGACUUAGUUCCUUUAAAAGUAUUUUUUUAAAAAAUUAUUUUUUUAUUUAUUUUUAUUAAAUUAUUUUUUUUAGUAUUUAUAAAUUAUUUUAAUGUGCUAAUAUAAAAAAUAAAUUUUAAAAAUUAAAAAAUUAUUAUUCCAAUAUAUUUUUAAAUAAAAUAUACUUUAAAAAAUUAUCAUUACUUAAACAUCAAUCAAGCUAUUAACUCCACACUACUCGUAUGAUAGCGUAAAACCAUCAAUUAAUAUUACCUUAGAUACCAUCAUUGAAGAUAAGAGCAAGCAAUUAAUCUUACCUUAGAUACCUUCAUAGCCAAAAAAAACCAUCAAACUUCACAAUCAUGUUUAGCGCAGCAGUUAAAUCAUUAUUUUAUUAAUUUUUAAUCUUAUUAAAAAUUAUAUUAAAAAUAAUUUUUUUAAAUAAAAAUUUUUUUUAUAUAAAAAAUAUUAUGAAAAAUAACUGCCUGAAAUAAGCUAUAAAAUUAUAUAAACACCCUUUUACUUUCAAUAAUCUCACUACGACCCCUCAAAACUAGCCAAUUUUUGUUUUUGUACAAUCCGUCCUUCCUCUUCAACAACCGCCAAAAUGAACCCUAACAAGUAGGCGAUAAAGCGCACCAAUUGGAAGAUAGAUAGAGAAUAGAAGAGAGAGAGAGACUUUUUUUUGUAAAAAUUGCAAAUUCACAUGAUCGACGACACCCUUCUAUUUCGCUUCCGUUUCAUCUCCUCCUCUAGUUCUCGUUUUCUUUUCUUUCCAGCUACUACUGGUAAUCAUUAUAUAAUAAUAAUAACCAUUUAAACAAAUACAGGCACCAGACAGGCUAGGGUUUCAGUUAUCCUUUCUUUUUCUUUUUCCUUUUUUUUUUUAAUAAAAUCGUUUUCCUUUUCUUUCAAAUUAAUAUCCUUCUCCAUGUCUAAAAGGUAAUUAAUUCUCUAACCUUUUCAAAUUUUUUUUGCUUUGUUAUUUUUUCUUGGAUUUUGCUCAUGUUCUUGUUCUUGUUUGUUUAGUUAGUGAUCAUCAAUUCGUGAUUAAUGCAUGCUUUUCAGCUUUUAGUUGAUGGCGUGUUUAUUUUAAUAGAAUUGUAGGGAAAUGAUUAAAAUAUUAGUGGUUAAAUUUAUGGAAUUAAUGGAUUAGGAAGUGCUAGACUUUGUUUAUCAAGAUUGAGCUUUUGUUUUGAUAUGGUUGAUUCUCACGUAUUUAGUUGAAUGAUAAUAAGAGGAUGCAAUAAGGUGGAAGAUGGGAUUUUGCUUUUUGUUUCUUUUUUUUUUCGUUAUGGUUUUGGGGGUACGAAUGAGUUCUAUUGAUCAUGAUUUUGUGGGUUUUUUUUUUUUUUAUUAUUAUUAUUGUUGUUUCAGGGUACUUUGCAAGUUUUUUGCUCAUGGGGCAUGCUUGAAAGGGGAGCAUUGUGAAUUUUCACAUGAUUGGAAAGAUCCUCCAAAUAAUGUAAAUACUAUGCUUUAGCAAUGGUUCUAUUUUUUGUCUUUUCUGUGUUUGAUUGUUUAUAUGCAGUGAAAUGAUUGUGAUAUUUAAUUGUUUGCUAAUGCAGAUUUGCACCUUUUAUCAAAAAGGUAUCUGCUCUUAUGGUAGUCGAUGCCGAUAUGAACAUGUUAAACCUUCUAGGCCUGAAUCUACUGCAUCAUCUUCAUUGACAGUUCCUUGUCAACCUCUGGGCUCAAAUUCCGUGUCCCUGGCCCUUCCUGCAAGAAAUGUAUCGAAUGGGGUGACAACAGUACCGGGUGUUCCUCCAGAGCUUUCAAGUAGACCCUUUAUUGCUCCCACUGCACCAGAAUGGAAUUUGGAGUCUGCACAACAUGACUUCUUAGAAGAUGGUGAGGUUAUAGAGCCUAGGAAUGUUAAACCAGCUGACCGAUCUAUCUGUUCAUUUGCUGCUGCUGGUAGUUGUCCUCGUGGAGAUAAAUGCCCCCAUAUUCACGGUGACUUGUGUGCCUAUUGUGGAAAGCAUUGCUUACACCCUUUCAGACCUGAAGAAAGAGAUGAACAUUUGAAAGCAUGCGAGAAGAAGCAAAAGAACCUUGAUUUGUUAAAAUAUAGUCAAGAAAUAGAAUGCAGUGUAUGCCUGGAUCGUGUACUUUCAAAGCCCACGGCAGCUGAACGAAAGUUUGGUCUGCUAUCAGAAUGCGAUCAUCCAUUCUGCAUAUCAUGUAUUAGGAACUGGCGUAGUAGUUCCCCAACCUCUGGAAUGGAUGUCAAUACUUCAUUGAGGGCUUGCCCAAUAUGUCGCAAGCUUUCAUACUUUGUCAUUCCAAGCGUUAUUUGGUAUUCCUCUAAAGAGGAAAAACAGGAAAUUGUUGAUACCUACAAGGCAAAACUCAGGUGAUUUUCUUGUCAUAAGUAUACUGCUUCUUUACCUUCUACCCAAUUCCUGGAUCAUCGUUAUAUUUUUGGAUAACUCUGUAAGAAUUUGUGAAAUUUAUGUUCUGAUAUUGGAAAUGUUUUAAGACAUAACUGUCAUUUUUCUUGAUAUGGCAAAAAAGGAAAACAGAAACAUCUUGCAUAUUCUCAGAGAAGAUUGGUUGGCUGUUUUGUGAUGAUGUAGGCUAUUAGUUUCAUGUAUAUAAAUUGUACUGGUGACUAAAAACUAGGUAGAUAACCAAAAAAACUCGAGAUUUUUUUAAUUUGUUGAAUAAUAAUAUAAUUACUUUGAGUUUUAUAGGUCAAUAGAUUGUAAACACUUCGACUUUGGGAAUGGGAACUGCCCAUUUGGAACCAGCUGUUUUUACAAGGUAAAGUGCCCUCUUGGUCUGUUCAUUGGAAUGUUACGUUGAGAUUCUCAUUGUAGUUUGGACAUUUUUCUUCUGUCAACUCUUCUUUUGCUCAUUAAAUGCUAGACAACCAAAAACUAUCUAUCAUCUGUAGAUGCGUUUGCCCCAUUUUUUCUCCCUUUCCCUGCUGGUGAAUACUUCUCUUAUCGGCUUCUAACAUGUGCUGCUAGGCAGUAACCUCAGAUAUGUUCAAGACUCCUUUUUUUUUUGUCUUAAAUGUUGCUUUUCACACGUGCACACACAUAUUUUUUGGUGCUAUAUAUGUGCCUCUGUGGCAGCCUUACACAGUCCUGCUGGGGUUAGGAAAGUGUGGAAGUGGCUUUUUACAGAAAGUAGAGUUAGAUUUCAAGCCCUAGUUUUCUUUUCUAUAUCUUUUGCAUGCAUAAAGGGGUGUACUUCCCCUCCCUUGUGAUCCCAUUUCUCUCUUGUAGUGAGCAUGAUUAGCUUUCAGCCCUUUGGACUGAAAGUGAAGACUUUACCAAAUAAACUGGCUGGUAGCAGUAAUAGUGCCACAAGUGGAGAGGAGCAUAUGGUGCUCUAGGAGGAAGGGAAGGAUUCAAUUACUCAGAUGAUAUACUAUUACCAUUAUCUUACACAUCUGAAAGACUUCGCCUUUCUUAUUUAGCUACACUGCAUAUGAACAAUGAAGCUCCUCUAUUUUUUUUUUUUUUAGUUUCAAACUUUUUUUUCUCUAGCAAUUAGACCCUUCUUCAGCCUAAGAAGAUGAAAUUAGGCUUGAAAUUAUGAUUAAAAAUUUAAAAUAGCAAAUUAAAAGAUAAAAGACUAAAAUGUGAAACAUGAAGAAAAUAUAUGGCUAAUUCCAAAUUCAUGACAAUUUUUAUUUUGGUAUACAAGUUCAUUUUGUUUACUUUUUAGUCUAUGGGUUAGAGAGAGUAGAGAGAAACUAGUCUGAAAAUGGAGAGGAGAGAGAAAGUUGUCGGUUUUCAUUCGACGAAAGGAGUUUGAUGGUGGUGGUUUUAGGCCUUCUUGUUGUCUGUAAAAGUAGAUCGACUUGAGAGAGAUUUUUUUAAGGUUUGAUUUUGUGUUUUUGAAUUGUUUUAAGGGUGCUUUGAGUUGGGAGAUCAUAAGGCCAAAAUUAAAAAAAAAGCCCAUGUGCGCGGCCUAGGCUUUUUAAUUCAAGCCAGGCUCGUGCCCAUGGCCUAUUUGGUUUUUCUUUCAAUUUAAUUUUUGGUUUUUUUUCUAAAUUAUUGUAUUUAAAAUAUCAUAAUUAAAUAAAUAUAUUGAAUUUUUAAAUUCAUUAAGAAUAUAUUUGAGUUAUUAUUUCAAAUUUGGUUUAGAAUUUAGAAAUUGAAUUCAAAAUAUCUGCAUUUUCAAAUUAUAUUAGAUUUGAGUGGAGUAAUUUAUUCUAUGAAUUGUAUCUGAAUAAUAACCUUUUAAUCAUAAUAAAAAAAAUUAUUUUAAUGAUUUUCAUGUUCAUAUUUCUAUUUGAUUAAAGUCACGGGUUCUAGGGGAUAGCUUUGGUUAGCCCGAGUUGAUCGAAGAUGUUGUCGGCUCAAUAAUUGAAAAAAAAAUUACUUUAGAUACAUUAAAAUUUUAGUUCAUAAUCAAAAUCUUACAAAUAUAAAAUACAUUAGUAACUCUUGUACAUUUUUCUUUAUGCUUAAAAAAAAAAAAAAAAAUUCUGAACUGCAGCAUAGCAUGGUCCUAUAAACAAAUAUUGUCUAUGUGUUUCGGUGCAUGUUAUGUUCAAUUUAUGUCUAUGUCCAUGCAAUCUACAAAGGAGGGAGACAUAGUAACGAAUAUGCUUAUUCUAGUGGUGCAUGUGAAUAUCUCAAUCAAUUGACUUAUGCUGGAAUUUACAGAAUCCAUUAUGUGUUGCCUGUAUGCAUUUAAUCAAUGUGCAACAUUUUGCUAAAUGCUGGUCAUCUUUGGUGACUAGCAGCAUGUACUCUUAUAUAGGUGUUUAUAGUUUUAUAGGAAUUUUUGUCGUUGCUAGCACAUCAUGGUAGAAACAGUUGACAAGGUAUGAAGGAACACUGCACAAUCUGGCUAAUCUUGAGAAAGCAUGAGCGCACAGUACAAAUUUGAUGCCAAGUGAAUCUUCAUUCAAGAAUGACCAAUUGAAUUGAAAAUGUUUACAAAUCAAGGAACAAUGAAAUUCACUUGGUAUCCACAAAAGCAGUGAAAUGCUGUUUAUAGAAGCACCACUGCAUUUUUGGGAUGAAAAAUGCAACAGGAUGCGUUGUCAACUUAGCAAACAGAAGUAGCAACCCAUCUUGAUACGUAUCCACUACCUGCUAUUAUCUCAUCUGCCUCUGAUCUCUGUCAUCAUCUUUCCAUCGCACAUGCAACCACCCUGUUCUUGAUGUUUUGCAACAACCUCCAUGUUGUUCUUCUACCCAUCAUUUAUGCACCUUUAAUGAUGUUCUGAUAAUCAUUCCUUCACUACAUUUCUUUUGCAUAUAGGCCUCCACCUGGUAUCUACGAGAAUUAAUAUAUCACAGACCCUCUCCAUGGAUGCCCUGUCCAUGCACAAAUCUUUUGUGCUGAGGAUCAAGUGAUGAAAAUGGUUUUUUUAGCAGUGUAGCUGGAUCUUAGAUCAGGCUACUCUUUUCAGUGAUCAGGACAAUUUAUGUAUAUUUCAAACCAAUUUAGCAUGCUGGAAACAUUUCUUCUGCUUUAUCUUUUGGGUUAGUCUUUCUGGCUUUCUAGCAGCUCUUUUUUACAAUCACAUUGGGAAAGAUGGAACUCGCAAUUUCUUAAUUGUUUUUCUUUUGUAUUUAUGAAAAUGUAUUUGUCCUGAUUAAAGUGUUGUUUUUUCUGCUUUCGUUUUGGUUCUAUUUUGUGGUAUGUUUUUGGCAGUUUUGCUUGGAAGUUAACCAGCUAAGAAAUGCUAUUGUAAAUAGACAAGAUUUCAAGCACCUGCUUUUGUUGCAUAUUAGUAAUAAGAAAAAAAGAGUCUUUUGUUGUGCUGUUAAUGCAUGUGGAUUUCAUAAUGAUUCUGUUUUCAGAAAGUUAUUCUGUCGCUCUUAAAAUUUCUCUGACUAGCUGUUAUACUCGAGAAAGCAAUUUCUGAUUGAUGAAGUCAAGCUAUUCUUGUUUACGUUUUCUUCCAGAGUAGAAGGUAGCAAACCUUUGAUGGUUUAUUAAGUGGGACUACUGGUAAAACGUUACUUUGGAUUUGAUAGAAUUUGAAUGAACAGCCUUGAGCCAAACAGACAAAAAAAGAAAGAAAGAAAGGAAGGUAGGAAUAUGAAAUUGUAUUGUUGCAUGGAUGGGCCACUAAUGAUGGCUCAGUAUGUGACCAUAAGUAGCAACAUAUGAUAUGGUAUCAUGAAUGGAUAACUUCUCAAUCAUGUGUUGCUUUUCUGCACAUUUUAUGCUAACAACUUCAGUGUCUCAUAAAGUUCUCGAUCAUCGCUAUUCUCAAUUUGCAGCAUGCAUAUCGAGAUGGCCGCCUGGAGGAAGUUGUUUUACGUCAUCUUGGAACUGAUGAUGGACAGACUGUGAUAGCUAAAAAUAUCUGGUUCGCUUUGAUCCUACUCUCUUAAUGUUUCACAUAAGUAGCUAAUGACACUCUUGUCUUUCAUUUAUUUUACUGCUGUGUUUGAUCCCUUCCAUUAAUAAUUUGUUUUAUUCUCAGGCUGUCUGAUUUCCUCGGUAGCUUACAAAUAAGGUGAGCUGGUGGUGUUUGAAUGCUUUUAAAGGUAAGUUUAAAGUUGUGAGCAGUGAUUUGGUUUUUCAGAUCCCUGAUUUCUGAACUGUACAUGCCUGAGCAUUCUGUCAUGUGCACAUGCUAGUGUUAUGUGGACAGACAUGCAUGCUUGUGCAACAUCUGUCUCUUAAUGGUCAAAGUAACUGUGCCUUUAACCAUCUCAAAAUAUGCAGGAUAUCUAUCAAUGUCAAGACAUGCACUCAACUUUAUUGUGGAAGGUCUUCAAUCUCCAGUGCCGAAUCAUGUUGUUUGUGAGGUAAAUUGCCUUGUGAGUAUUAUAUUCCACACCCAUCAGUUUAUCCUGUAUGAUGGACUUUCUGAGGUUUUGCUUUUAAAAAUGUUCUCCUGUGUUUUUUAAGUUUAGGUUUGACUUUAACAUACAAAUUUCUAGUGAAAAUGCAUGGAAUUCUCCCAAUCUUCCUGGCUCUAACUACAUAAUCUGUAUUGUGAUAAUUUUGUUUACUAACCAUCAGCAGCUAUACCAAUCAUCAUUUCUUUCCUUGGAUUUCCUUGUGAAACCUGAGCUGAUGGGAUUUCAUGAAAUACUUCAACUCUGUUCAAGGGUUCAUUCUUCAGAAAUAUCAUUUAAACAACAUGUGAACAUGACGGAAAUUUUGGGUCUCAUUAUUCCUGUGAUGUUUCCUUUUAUACUUUCAAUAGUUGCUCCCACCUUUGGAGUUCUGUUCUGGUAGGUUCUCUUGUAGGGAUUUAAAUGACCCUCUGGGGUUGCAGGUGGCGUGCAUAAAAUUCAGUUUGGAGGGAAAUUAUUUGUCAUCUUAAGAUAAACUUAAAAGUUCGCAAAGAAUUACAAUUAGAUUUUCCUUGUGGUUGAAUAAUAAGUGGGUGCUUUGAGUCGCUCUCGAAUCUAAACAUUUAUGGGUGGAUAUUAUUUAGGCCUUAUUGCGAUAUCCCUCUUGUAUCUACUUUCUCACAACUUAAAGAGUUUUUAUGCUUCCGAAAACCCUCAUGAAAUUUUGUGUCAAAUGUAGGAUGGCUUUCUGGAGGAGACUAAUUUGUGGGAAGCUGAAAGAUGUGCCGUUGUGUCAUUAUAAGCUGCAUCUUAAGUUAUUUUGAAAUAAUAAAACGAAGAACAUGUCAAGGCAUUGAAAGGUUUUGAACAGCGUUGAUAAAUUAUGUACUUGUGAAGGAAAAUGAUUUGAAUAAUGGAUGUUUGCGAUUAUAGUUUGCUUCCCUCACACCAGAAAGGACGGCGAAAACUACAGGGUUUCGCCCUAAUGGUUUGUAAUAAUUUGAAGUUUUGAGGACAAUGUCAGGAUGUUGUGGUGCAUCAUACUGGUGUUGCCUCUGUAUAAAAGUUUUGAACUUUGAGGUAUACAUGAGAUUUGAUACAAUGUAAUUCAUUUGUACCUAAGCCAUGUACAUCUUAUGACGAUUACAAAGUGGAAUUUAUUUUACCGCUUCCAUCACAAAGCUUGAAAUUGUUGGUGGCAUUUGUUUGGUUCUCGACCUCCACAUCUCAUAUGCUAUUUUCUUAUUCAAGGUCCUCUUUGUUAUGUUUGCUUCAGAAACGAUUUUUUCACACAAAUUGCUUAAUCUAUGUAUGGAAUCUAAUGUGAAAAUAGGUCGAGGUUCGUAAUGACAGAAUUCUAGAUGCUAGAUUUCCAUGCGAGCCGGAUUUUUUUUCUUCUGCUUGAAGCCAGAUUUCUUGUGUCUGGUAGUUUAUUUGGUGUAAAUGCUCAUGUUGUUUUUUGGGUUAAAUUCUAGGUUGAAAGCCCAAUUAAAUUAAGCGAGACAAAGUUGAUUUAAUUGUGUUAUAAUACAAACUAUAAUAAAGACCUACAGGAAGGUCAUUAAGAAGACUAGAUGAUCUAUCCAAUAAACUUCUGGAUAAAUCAUAAAUGACUAGCUAAUCCGUUACUGAAACGCCUGCACCUCCCAGUCUUUUGAUAAUAAAUCUCUAGCCUGUAUGAUUAAAUUAUAAUUCUUCUCAAUGUUAAUCUUAUUUUUAAUGAUUAAAUCAACAAGCAAGGUAGAAUCUAAUUCCAAAAUAAUUUGUUGGGAUACUUUGGACCAAGCUUAAUUCAAACCAUUGGUAACUGCUCAUAGUUCUGCACAUACUGGCAUAUAAAUCCCAAUAUUAAUAGCAAAACCAACAAUCCACAUUCCCAUAUCAUCCCUUAUGACUCCACCAGCACCACCAGCCACUCUUGGGUUCCUUUGCUACAACCAUCCACAUUAAUCUCCACCCAACCUAUUGGAGGGUAUCUCCACCCUAUAAAAUCCAUAUGCUUGAUAUUAUUUAUGUUUCCAAAUUCACCAAACAUAGAUUGUUUGAUAUCACCAACUAGCCUCCUGAUUACAUGAACAAUGUUAUGGGAAGAAUUAGCAACAAAACCAAACAUUUAUUGGUUUCUCUCCUUCCAUAUCUGCUAUAAUGCAACCCCGAAUUCAAUCGCCCAAUCCUUCCUACUAGAAUUCAUAUGAUUACUUCUUAAAUUGUUUACUAGCCAGGUGUACCAGUUGUGGGAGUAGAAAGCCUCCCUUUCUCCGGCCCUAACAAUUCUAUCCCAAACCCCACGUGCUCUUAGGCAAUCUCGAAGAGCAUGGAUGGUUGUUUCCACAUCUGUCAAGCAAUGACUAUAAAAAGGGUUAGCUGUAAUUCUCCUUCUCCAUCUAACCUCAUUUGUCAUAAUAGCACCAUGAGCGAUUGUCUAAAGGAAGACUUUCACUCUUUCUAAUCCCUUCCAAUCCCAGAUGAUGUUCCACAAAGGGUCAUAUUCUUGUUGAAAAUCUCUACUCUCUUCCUAGACUGAUAAGCCGGUUUAACUGAGAAUGGGCCACUUGCAGAAUGCCUUCAGUAAGCUUUAUCUCCCCCUAUAUAUGAUGUACGAGGAUUGUAACCUACCAAGACCAUAACCACCUGGAAUGGAAGUAAAUGAGCAAACGUUUCCCACAUCCAUUGGCCUCCAUCAUCCACCAUAUCAGCUAUCGAACAAUUCAACAAAUCCUCAGGAAUAUCUUGAAUAGUGUGCAUAUUCAAAGGGCCAUACCCUUUCAACCAAGAGUCUCCAAAACAGCACCUUUCUUCCACAACCCAAAGCCCAAUUUAAACCUUGUGUGGCAUAAGGCCACACUUUACAAAUACCCUUUCACAAAGUUGAAUCUUUUUUCUUAUCUUGAAAACCUGGAUUGAGCUCUUGCUCCUUAACAUACUUAUACCUUAAGACCCGCACCUAUAAACUAUCACCGUUCUAGAAUACUCCUUGGGCCACUUUCAUAAUGAAAGCCCCAUUCAUGCUAUCCAUUUUCCUUAAACCCAUACCCUCUAGGCUGGUACAUAGUUUUCCAAGUCACCAAAUGCACCUUAUCUCUCCUAUCCUUUUGACCCUAGAUGAAUCUCCUACACAACUUCUCAAUGUCAUAACAAAUGCUCUUUGGGAGCAAUGCCGAUUGCAUAGGAUAAAGAGGAACUUUGGAGAGCACUGCCUUACAUAAGGUAAUCUUUCUUGCAAGAGAUAAGUUAUUUGAUUUCCACCCACCAAGUUUUCAAUAAUAUAAUUGUAGGUCUUCUUCGUGUCUCUUUAAUGAAGCAGGGGUACACCAAGAUACUUCCCCAAAUCUUUUGUAGUCUUAAAACCACUGAUUCUGCUAAUGUUAUUGGUUAAAGCAUGGGAAACAUUCUUCAAAAAGAAGAUUUUGGUCUUAGCCAUAUUAACUCUCUGACCUGAAACUUCACAAAAGGAUUCCAGACAACCUAAAAUCCUAUCCAUUUGAUCAGUACUGGCUUUAGCAAAUAAAAACAUAUCAUCUGCAAAACAUAGAUGAGAAACACAGGGACCAUUUCUUUUGACUCUGAAAGGUCACCAAGUUCCCUGCUCAACCUCCCUGUUGAUAAGUUGCGACAAUCUUUCAAGACAUAAAACAAAUAUAUAAGGGGAUAAUGGGUCCCUCUAUCUUAUGCCUCGAGAUGGAUUAAAAGCCGCAGUAGGUUUACCAUUCCAUAACACAUUAAAAAAUGUAGAUUAAAUGCAUUUCAUGAUCAAAUUAACCAUAUCAACUGACAAUCUUACCUCAGUAAGAGUAUCUCUAAUGAAAUCCCACUGUAAUUUAUCAUAAGCCUUUUCCAGAUCCACCUUGACAGCUAUCAUUCUCUUUCUCCUUUUCAUUUAUCUCAUAGACUGCACCACCUUUUAGGCCACUAUGAUACUAUUUGUAAUAUUCCUAUCUAGAACAAAACUACUAUGGGCCUUACUAAUCAGAUUCGGCAAGAUCAAUUUGAGUUUCUUCACAAUAAUCAUAGACACCAUUCUGAAGCUAACAUUGCAUAGACCAAUUGGUCUAAACUAGUAGAGAUAUUCUGGAGCAUUCAUUUUCGGAAUAAGAAUCAAAUGAGUUUGAUUCACCUCUGCCACUUUAGACUGCCCAUGAAAAAUGUUUUUGAUAAUCUCACACACUGACUGGCCUACUACUGUCCACUAAGAUUGGAAAAAAAAGGCUGGAAACCAUUUGGCCCAGGUGUAGUAUAAGGCUUCUUGUCAAAGAUUGCAGCCCUAACCUCCUCAUCAGAUACCGGCUCUGCUAACUGACUUAAGUGAGCUUGAUCGAUCUCUGGAAAACUGUCAUGAAGCUUAACUCCCUAAACCAAGGAAUCCUCUCUUUUAAACAAAUUCUGAUAAAACAACCUGGCCAUAUCCCUCAAAAAGUCCUCAUCCUCCACCCAAACAUUACUGUCAUUUUUCAGCAUUCUGAUCUUAUUCCUCUGCCUUCUGAUGACUGUCUUUGUGUGGAAGUAGGAAGAAUUUUUGUCCCCAUAAAUAAUCCAUUUGCAUCUCGACUUCUGAAACCAAUGAAUUUCCUCCUUCCUGGUAAUCUGAUAGUACUCUGCUAACAACUUAUUCUCCAAUCUACCCAAAAAUCUAUUCCUAGACUUUCGUAAAGAUUUCUGGAUCCCAUUAAGCCUAGUCAGUACCCUCCGCUUCCGUUGGAAAAUAUUGCCACUUUCAAUUGGAGAGUUAGAGAAUCCAAAUUAUCAGUUAAAUACCUCAUACACUCCCAGUACUCCUGAUAAAAGCUACAAAAUUUUCAUGACUUACCCAAGCUGCCUUGAAACAAAACAAUCUGAUAUUAUGCUGUCUGUUACUCUGGUCUAACAAUUCCACCAAAAUAGGGUGGUGAUCAGAUCGAACUCUAGGUAAUACUCUGAUUCUAGCUUCCUGAAAUUUUAUCCUCCAUUGAUGAUUCCCAAAACCUCUAUCUAACCUCUCAUAAACCCUGCUAUAACCCAGAGUUUCAGCUCCUCUCAAAGUGAAUUUAUGUCCAUUAACUCCCUAAAUUUACCAAUCUACAAUCUUGCACCCAUCUCCCAAAUCUAAUACAUCUCCUCAUAUCUACUGCUACCCCCCAACCUUCUCCAAGACCAAUAAAAUAUCAUUAAAAUCUCCGACUACCAUCCAAGACAGGACAGUAUAUCUCGCCAAGCUUGCCACUUCCCCAGUAAAUGCUCUUGUUUCCUCGGAAGAAAGGGUCAAUAGGCUUCCACUGCACUUCGGGAUAGUCCAUUUUCAUCACUAAAUUCCUCUCCAUUUUUCUCAAGGUUUGAAGCGGUUGGACUGUUCCGUUAGGACAUAUAGCUUUUUUUGUGAACCAUGGUUUUGUGUUUCCUUCGUUCCUUCUAUUUUUGUUCCAACAUUUAGAGGGAUCUUGUUCCCUUCUUCUUAUUCUUUAUAUAUAUAUAUGAGAAAAAAAUGCUAAAAUUAAAUGAUGAUGGAUAGUAAAAUCCCCAGAGCGCAGGCAUACCAUGUUUUUUUUUUAUUGUGUUCAACUGUGACGGUGAAUUCAUAAAAAUCAACCUUUGAUCCAUAGUUUGGUAAGAUGAAGUCUGUAAUUACUAUUACAUGCUAAAAACAAUAAUGAACUCCAGCUUCUAGCAUCAAAUACUGCAAGUACUAAUGUUUUCCCUAUCGAAUAAUUUUUGUCAUAAUUUAGAAUUUCUUCGAAUGGUCGGACAAUUACCAAAAACUGAAUCUUCUCUAGAGGCAAAAAUAUGGAACAGUCCAUGAUUUCUUAAAACUACUUCCAACUCAGGAGAUGAGCAAGUUGAGUUCUUCUCAGGGCUGCGUUCACGAAGAUUUGUGCCAUCUCCUAGUUUAUGUGAAUUAUGAUGUAUGUACAGUAUCAUUCUGACGGUUAAAGGUAUAGCAAAUACAAAUAUGGAAAAAAAAAGCACCUGAUCACAUGAACGUAAUAAAAUAAUGGCAAAAAAUAAAGUAAUUCACUAAAAAUAAUAUAUUAUGAACCAUAUUUUAUUUACUCUAUUUAUCAACAUAGAAUAAAAUCAUGUACAUCAUCAAACCAUCUCUUUCUUUAUGCAUUAACAAAUAAUGAAAUCAAGAAUAAAAGGCCAAAUAAUUAUACACAAGUCCCUCAAACAAUUUAUCGAAAAGAAUGUCAAGCGAACAGCAGCAUAACUAAAGUAAUUUAAUGCUUCAAGAGAGCAAGCAGAGACAACAACAGGGUUGAGCAAAACACCGCCCCAGACAUCCCCAAAGAACAGGCUGCUCCCUUGUCCAUUGUUGGCGCAGGUGCUGGUGCCAUCUCAAAAUCUUGACCAGUAACAGUAGCAGAAUACAUUGCCACAACAAAGAAGAUGGCCAUAGCCUUGAAUGUGCUCGCUAACUGAGCCAUGAAGACAGAAAGCAAAAUAUAUGGCGAAAGAAAAGAUUGGUGUUUUCGAGUAUAUUAUAGAGCUUGUGUGCUUCUUCUUCGUGCUGUUUGUGUGCUCUUAGAGGGCUUAGGGCAGAGGGGUAUUUAUAAAGGUUUUGUGGAGGCUUGUGGGACCCCAAAACAAAACCUGGAACAGCUGUGCCAUGUUCACAGGUGAGAACCUUUUGAUUCCAGCAUGUGAAGGCAACUUUUUGCUUGCUAUCCACAUGAUCUGGGCUUGCUAAGCUGCUUCCACACUCAGGACCUCAACGUGUAGUGAAAGUUCUAAGGGGUCUUUGAAUACAAUGCAUGCUCUUUCUUUUUGGUUUCCGUCCAAAAGUAUUUUCUGUCACAUGUGAUAUGAUCAAAUUAAAAUCAAACACCAAUUACAAGAUAAUUCUUAGUUCAGAUUGCGACAACGCAUUAGACAGUGCAAUUUCUGACUUUUCACGUUCUAAUUAGGUGAGCUGAGUCUAAAAACGAUAAAAUCUCGAUUGCUUCAGCAAAUUUUACAGCUAUAUUCGUUAAAACACAUGGAAGGAAGGUUCAACAACAACACGCGCCACCUACAGAAGAAUAUUGAUUAUAACUAAAUAUCUAAAAGGCGUGUGCAAAUUUCAUGGCUAACCCUUUUACUGUGGAUUUCUUGCUCAAUUUCUUUUCAAUUUGAUCCUCAAAUUUUUUCUUAUGCAAUUGCAUCCUUUUGCGUCAAAUCCAAGGGCAAUUAAAUCAAAUUUGUUGACAAAGGAUAAAAUUAAAAGACAGGAGACCAAAUUUAAAAAGGCGCCACAAAUGAAUGAUAGUUUCAAAAUUCACAUAAAAAGUUUAAUUUAGUCCUCAUACUUUAAAAACUAUAUAAUUUUAUUUUAAAAUUUUGCUUUAUUUUUAAUUUCAUCCUUUUUUUUUUGUUUGAUUGCAUCAUUUUUAGACCAAAUUCAAGGGAAAUUAAAUCAAAUCUGUUGACUAAAGACAAAAUUGAAAGACAUGGGACCACAUUGAUGGUUUCAAAGUUCACACAAAAAAAUUAAUUUAGUCCUCACACUUUAAAAAUUAUACAUAUUCCAUCUCUCAAUAUUUUUUCAAGUUAAUUUUGGUAUGAUUUGAGAGAGGAGAGAGAGAGGAAGAGAGAGAGAGGUUGUCAAAUUCCAGUGGUAGAGAGAAAAAUAUUGUUAGUGCCGGUUUAGGUCACCAAAAUAGUUGAUCUUUGUGUCAAAUAGUUCCAUUUGACGAGCGGAGCUCGGUAUAAGUGCUUCUUUUUUUUUACCUAGGAAGUGCCUGAAAAAACAAAUUUCAGCCAGGAAAUUUUUUUAUUUCGGAUUGAUUUCAGGUCUCGAGAUAGUUUUUUGAGGUUAUGGAUAUAUAGGUUUAUCAAGGUUCAUAUGAUAUUUUUUUUAAGUGUUUGGAGUAAAAAAUGGAUUGCAAAAUGAGUUUAUGAGUAAAAAACAGUCAACCCUGAUUUUCAGCCAAUUUGCAAUAAAAAAUAAUAAUAUAGCCCUAACGAAAUAUACUAAGCCAAGUAGCUCCUGAUCUUUUUUUUUAAUUGAUGCUUUUUUAUUUGUAUUUUUUUGAAAUUAUUAUUUUUAUUUAUAUUUAAAUUAAUACUCAUUCUCUCUUUUAUUUUGUUUAUAUAUAUAUAGCUUCUUUUAAAUGACAUAUGUAUUUAGUGUUUUAAGAGAUUAUUCUAAUUUAUCUAUAAUUUUUUUUGAUGUUUUAUAUAAAUAAAAUAUAUUUAUUUUUAGAUAAUAUUUUUUUAUUUUAUUCAAUCAAUUUCAUGUGUACUUGUUUUUAUUAUCUUUUGAUUGAAUGAAAAUUUGAUUUGAUAAACAAAAUCAUUCAAAAUAACCAGGUGAAAGGUAUUUAUUAAAAAUAUCUAAACUCAUCACGAAGGCUUAUAUAUAGGGGUAGCACACACCGGGGAAAAGCACUCAUAUUUUUGUCUAUUUCCAUUUGUUUCCACCAAAUUCUCCAAUAAUAGCUUGAUAAAUGUCUCGCUGAUUGUAAUUGCCGGGGUGUGAAUGCUUGUAAUAAGUCUUUCGUGCAUGCCCACCCUUUAUAUAUGUGUUUUAUUAUUCAAAAUUAAAAAAAAUAUAUAUGAAAAAGUCCUCCAAAUGAAACGAAAAUCGACAGCUAAUCGGUCAAGAGAAAGAAAAAUAAUUCUGACUUUUAGUUGUCAAAUUCAAUUUCCUCUCCACAAGUUUUCCAGGAUGAAUUUGCAAGUUUAUGUCAAAUUUAAUUUCCUUUCCACAAAUUCAAUAUUAUGUCCGAAGAAACUAUCAUAUUCUUUGUCAUGAUUCAAAAUUAUGAAGAUGUUGUAGUGAAUAAGGUUAAUCUUACAUAAAAUUUUCGCUAGAUGGUCUAAUUUAAAAGAAACAAAAGUAAUAUAUCAAUUAAAAAAAAUAAAUAAAACAGUUUAAGAUCUAUAAUUUAUAAUAUAUCAAUUUGUUUUCUUGUUUUUACACCAUUAGGAGAAGGAGAACCACCAUGACUUAGAUUUGAUGUAGGAUGUUCUCUCUUCAAAGUUCCAUGCAAACAUAUUUGUAGGUUAAAUUAUACAACUCUUUUUUUUUUAAAAAAAAAAUAACUAAAAUGAGUCUCUAAGCUUUAAAUUUUUAAUUUGAUUAUUAUAAUAAAAAAAUAAAUAUUUUCAUGUUUUAUUUAGAUUUUCAUGUUUCUGUCAAUUUUAACUAGGGAUAAUUACAAAAAUUCUCAUUUAGUUUGAUCUAAAUUUUAAUUUAUCUCUAUACUUUUAUAAAUUACACUACAUCUUGAAUCAAAUAAAAUUUUUAAAUAAAAUGCAUUGUUAAGAAUGUAAACUAUCAUUAAAUAUAUAAAUUAUUAGAUAAAAAAUGCAAAUUAUAAAAAUAAUUUUUAUUAAAAAAUGACACGUGUCUAAAACAUCAUCUCUUUUUCUCCAAGCCGGAAAAAAAAAAUAUUUUUUUAAAACAAAAUCGGAAUUUUCUGCUCACUCUCCGUAAAUCUCUCUUCAAAGGGGAAAAAAAAAAAAGGUUUCCCUACAGUGCGCACCAUUCCUGCAUCAAGCCAAUGAACACAACAUAGCUUUAACUUUUAUAAAGCACCAUCUGAACGCGCCUCCUGCUUCAAUGACGUCUUAAACUUCCAAUGUAUGAUAUGAUGAUGUGCAGCAGCACCCACCCUCUUCCUUAGACCAACCCCAUCUCUCCCUUCUCCCUCUCCUUUGCUUAGAAAUCCAAAAUUCAUACGACCUGGAGACCUUUGCUCUGCAGUUCGCUCACCUUUGCUAUUCAUGGUUUCUGUACGGUGUAUGUGUUAGCUGGAGCCACCAGCACGUUUAUGAUAGUUAAAUUAAAAAAUUUAAAAACUCAUUUAGUUUGAUCUAAAAUUAAAGAUAAUUUUGAGUGAUUAAGUGCAUAUUUGCAUAUCAGCCACCCAUAUCCCCUGGGAAGAGAAUAGCAGGGGAGGGCUCAGGAAACUUGUUGAAUUUCUAUUUUUUUCUUAUGACAUCGAAUAACUGUUUGUUAUAGAAUAUGGAUAUUUGUGAUUACAAUAGUUUUUUUCGUAGAUUAAUCGUUCUUUUACAUAACAGCAGGGGAGGGCUCAGGAAUUGGUACCUUUUUUUUUCUUUCCCAACAAUACACUUCAAUCGAUUUAUUUUACUAUGCAAAGCAGAAAUUGCCAAGCUUUUGAGCAUCGAAUGUCUCUUUCAAAAUUCUCAUCCUCUUAACCAGGAACAGAGCUCAAUGGUCCAUGGUCUAUCGCUAUGAACAAGUGAGUGAACACUGAUCUGACAGUCACAUACCUUUUAUUUUGCAAUUGACCACUGUAUAUCCACCCGAAAGAGAACUUAUCAUAUGAUAGCAAAGAAGAAGAAGAAGAAGAAAAGCAAGCGAAGCCCGUUUAAGUAGCUAAAAUGAAAUGAUCUAUAUAUGAAAUAUAGAAUAAAUAAUCAAAUACAUAAGUAGUUGUAAAUCAGUGUAUUACAUAUCCCUCAUCUCAGUAAAAAUAAAUCUGCCAGUCUACAAGAGAACCCAUAUGUAAUAAAUAAACCUUUAUUCAACUGUAUAGACAAACCAAUAAAUAAUAGAACUCCUGAAUCCCUCGAAAAAUCACUCUCAAAAGAGUACAUGUAUAAACCCCAUCCCAGUAAUCUAUAUAUAAUAACCCUCAGAUCGCAAAAAUCUAAUGCCUCAAAAGAGCGAGCAUGGACAAGAAGAGAGAAGAGCAGAUAAGAGCCCCGGAAGUCCCAAAAGAAUAAGAAGCAGCGCCCGCGCCAAUUGCUGGUGCUGGCGCUGGUGCCAUCUCUCCAAAAUCUUGAGCAGAAACAUGAACGCUAGCAAACAUCGCCAUUACAAGAACAGCAGCGAGAAACUUCAUUGUGGCAAAUUCCAUUGAGCAGGGAAUUGGAUCUCGAGACACAAAAAAAAAAUCUUUCAAGAAAUGUACUGAGGGUGCAAACCAAAUCUUGAGUACUCAAUUGUUGAUCUUGAUGGUGAUGAGAAUAGAAGUGACAAGGAGGGGUUUUUAUAGAGUAGGGUACGUGUGGGUUUUCAGAAAGAAAACGCGUGGGGCCAUAGAGAACGUGGACAACUGUAGAGACACGUUGAGGGAGAGAAAACGGGAACCAGUUUGAGUCCAGCAAGAAAACGGCUGGUUGUUAAGAAAAAUUUGAUUUAGCGGGCACUUGUCCCAAUUUUCUUACCCUGUCUUCGAAACCGUUAACCUAACACGAAGACAGUCCCCAUACGGAAC
rnacentral:lncRNA from 1 species